rnacentral:lncRNA from 1 species
CAAGAAGGCCAAGACUCAGAACGAUGAGGAGGUCAAAUCUGAGGUCGAAGAUGAGGGUAGCGAUGAGGUAUAAACAUUGAGCAUUUUGGUUGAUGGUUGGUUUAUGUUUGUAGCGCCCAAUGAUGUUUACCCGCUAGUGCUUUUAGUGACACUCUUGAUUUUUCUGUCUGCAGGAAAACGAGGACGAUGAUGAGUAAAUAGUGUAUCAGAGUAUGAGGUAGCAAAUUGGGUGUUGGGUCCCCGCUUAGUGUACUAGUUUGCUAUCCUGCUAUCCUCAGUGUUAGAUGAUGAGAUUUGGAAGUAGAUGUUGUGUUUGUGUGUUAAGGGGGCCCUUUUAGACUUGUGGACUCAUGGUUUGAGAAGUUGCUUAGUAGUGUAUUAGCAGAGAGGAAGCUGAGAAUGCUACCAGCUGUUCCAAUGCUUUUCUCUUGCUAACCACCUGUGUAAGAACUUGUUUUCAUUCGCUAAUCUGAUGACUGCCCAGCCAUUGGCUCUUGGUUAAUUUCGCCUUAAAUUUGUCGUGGUUACUUCUUCUGUGUGCUACUGUGUGUAAUCUAUCUGCUUCGUUUGGCUUUUUGUAACUCGGUUGAAUUCUUAGCUGUGACUUCAUCUGCCCGAGUCUGUUGGUGAUAUUUGGUGUUUGCUGGGAUUAUUUCCGAGCUACAGAGUAGAAUAUGAACUACUCCUAGAUUAGUGGGGCUGAGAACGUAUUGUAUAAUUUGCUAAUCUGCUGUUUGAGAAUUGGCCGGUGUUGCUCUUUCUGGACGACAUUUCAAUGAUGCUGGCACGGGACAAACAACUUGUCCAGGCGAGAUGCAAAUGGUAACUGCAUUUUUGGGCAAUAUGAGAAGCCGUGUCCCAUCCAGCGCGGAUCUCUGCCGGUUUGCUUCAAGAGAAGCUCUAUUUGUUGAUCUCGUCAUGGCGUCUAACUGCAGGUAGCGGUGCGGCCGCAGGGUUGCCUAGAUGCUGCAAAACAGCAGAUGCUGGUUAGGAGACGCAGCCGCUCAGGAUAAUGCGAAUAUUAAUAACGCGAUUUAUAACUCGUCGUCUACGCUUCCGUAGCAUAGUGGUAGUGCGUUCGCUUCGUAAGCGAAAGGUCGUGAGUUCGAUCCUCACCGGGAGCAUAUUUUUUUGGCCUCAAGAUUUUGGUAAAGGUUCUCUCCCCUUCGUUCAGUCCUACGCUUUCCUCUUCCUCUCCCAUUUUGACUUUUUCUCUCGCGAAAACCGCCUCAAACACAUUAUAACAAGCAUUAAAGUUUCUUUUCCCGCAUCCCACAUUUGCACAAAUACUGUGAUUCUCAAGCAGACUUAAGUUUUGAAGAUCAAAUGGGGAUGUCAAAUUGAAGUACCAAAUGAAGAGAAGCGAAUGAUAUGAUCCAAGAGUUAGCUAUAUUUUAUAUUUAUUAUAUGAUAAAACAGUAUAACUGGGUCGAUAAACCCCUAACUUUCUUUAAUGUAGUCUUAUACAGGAUGUAAUUAUUGUUUGAUAUCAAUAAAAAGAGCCAUGACAGGCUUCCCUAGGGAAAAAAACGCAACACUGCACAUCCCACUCCGUGCAUACCGUAACAUUGUACGGCCGAAAUUUAUCCUAAUCAACCUAACAAAAAGGUGUAGGAUGAAAAUUGAUCCUAAUCAGUUCAAAACAGGCAUAUGUCUCGACGGAUAAAAGGCAUUGGAGUAAAUGAUUAUGAACUGGGAGAUGUAGAGAAUUAUUUAAUUUUACGCACGACAAACAUUUAAAUAUCUCACAACAAAAUGGCAUAUCCAAUUGUUCCUUAGCUACAGUACAUGGAUAGUAUUCUUCCAAUGUGCAUGAAUCAUUGUUUGAACUUCACAGUCUUUUAAGUGUGAUUUCUUUUGAUCUGGUCAACAAAAACUUUCACCGAUAAUUAAUAAAUCAUUUGAAAAAAAUGUUGUACAAGUAUUUCAAAAAAUCUAGCCAAGCAUUGGGAAAAUGUUAAAUGUGUAUAGAUUAAAUAUUGACCAUACAUUAAAAAUAGUGAUUUUUAUUAUUGUAUAUUAAAAUAUUAAUAAGUCAUUUGAAAAAUGUUAAUCAAGCAUUUGACAAAUUGUUAAAUGUGUAUAGAAAAAUGUUGACCAUGCAUUCAAAUAAUAUUUAUCUUGCAUUUGGAAAAAUGUUGAUAAAGCAUUUGAAAAAUGUUAAACGUGCAUAGAAAAAAUGUUGACCAUUUAUUAGAAAAAUAUUAAUUUUGCACUUCAAAAAUUUUAAUCAAGAAUUUGAAAAAGUUUAAAGUGCGUAUAAAAAAAUAUUGACCAUGAAUUCAAAGAAUGUUAAUCUUGUAUUUAAAAAAUAUUAAUCUAGCAUUUAAAAAAUAUGCAUAGAAAAAUGUUGACUAUGUAUAAAAAAUGUUAAAUUUGUAUUGGAAAGAUGUAAACAUGUAUUAGAAAAAAUGCUGUUGACAUAUAAAAAAAAUGUAGAAUGAAAAUCCAAACUAACCNNNNNNNNNNNNNNNNNNNNNNNNNNNNNNNNNNNNNNNNNNNNNNNNNNNNNNNNNNNNNNNNNNNNNNNNNNNNNNNNNNNNNNNNNNNNNNNNNNNNNNNNNNNNNNNNNNNNNNNNNNNNNNNNNNNNNNNNNNNNNNNNNNNNNNNNNNNNNNNNNNNNNNNNNNNNNNNNNNNNNNNNNNNNNNNNNNNNNNNNNNNNNNNNNNNNNNNNNNNNNNNNNNNNNNNNNNNNNNNNNNNNNNNNNNNNNNNNNNNNNNNNNNNNNNNNNNNNNNNNNNNNNNNACAGAAGAAAACCGAAUGAAACAGAAGAAACCGAAGAAAGUAAAGAAAAAAACAAAAGAAAACAGAAAAUCAGUGUAAAAACGGCUCUUUUCGUUCUAGUAGGUUAUGCACGACUUAUUAAACACAAACUCGAUGUUAGCUCAGUGGGUAACAAUUCUAAGAAGCAACCAGGAGAUCCCAGGUUCAAUCCCCUCUCGUAAAUAUAUACCCUAAUGGGCCGGCCCGAUUAGUCAAAAAGCUUGAGCAAGAUAUAGCGCUCGCGCUCCGGCUUAUGGGUUUAGGGCGUUGCCCGGCACGGCUCGGUUUUCUAUGAGUUUUUUCAUGUUUUUUGUUUUCCCACGUGGGCAUUUUAUCAUUUUUUAUAUUGGACGUCGUUGGGAGCAGAUCCACUCGAUGCGCUGGUUCGUCUCCUCAUGACUCAUGAGUUGCACCAAUUAGUACUAGAGACUAAGGCACGCUUUGCUGCGCCAUUCUUCAUUCGUGAAAUUUACUUUUUUAUAUAUCUAUUGAUUAUUGUGAUUAGUUGUUUUGCUUUGAUUUUAUCUGUGUGACUUUUUUUAAUGUUUUUAUGGUAUUUUUUGAGUAUUUUUUUCAAGAGAAGAGACAAGUUAUUUGAUGUAUGGUUGUGAAGCCUUUGCACAUUUUGCCCUUGUUUAAAAAAAAAGAAGAAUUACCCUAGCCUCUGCAUCAGUAUGAUGCUCACAACCAUCUUUAUUCAUUAUUCACCAGAGUCUAACAAAAUCAAUAGAGGGAUCAACCCGAAGCCUCCUUCUAGGCGAAUACAGUCGCUACACCUACAAGUAUACAGAUGCGCCAUGUCCGCAUAAUAGACACAAUCUAAUUCAGUGGGCUUAAGACCAUCCCGUCUAAGCGUCCCAUAACGUGCAUCGCCUGCGCACGCUCUAGAAUCCGUCGCCGCCAUGGCACGGCUCGGUUUUCUAUGAGUUUUUUCAUGUUUUUUGUUUUCCCACGUGGGCAUUUUAUCAUUAUUUAUAUUGGACGUCGUUGGGAGCAGAUCCACUCGAUGCGCUGGUUCGUCUCCUCAUGACUCAUGAGUUGCACCAAUUAGUACUGGAGACUAAGGCACGCUUCGCUGCGCCAUUCUUCAUUCGUGAAAUUUACUUUUUUAUAUAUCUAUUGAUUAUUGUGAUUAGUUGUUUUGCUUUGAUUUUAUCUGUGUGACUUUUUUAAUGUUUUGUUGGUAUUUUUUGAGUAUUUUUUUUCAAGAGAAGAGACAAGUUAUUUGAUGUAUGGUUGUGAAGCCUUUGCACAUUUUGCCCUUGUUUUUUUUAAAAAAAAGAAGGAUUACCCCAGCCUCUGCAUCAGUAUGAUGCUCACAACCAUCUUUAUUCAUUAUUCACCAGAGUCUAACAAAAUCAAUAGAGGGAUCAACCCGAAGCCUCCUUCUAGGCGAAUACAGUCGCUACACUUACAAGUAUACAGAUGCGCCAUGUCCGCAUAAUAGACACAAUCUAAUCCAGUGGGCUUAAGACCAUCCCGUCUAAGAGUCCCAUAACGUGCAUCGGCUGCGCACGCUCUAGAAUCCGUCGCCGCCAUGGUGUCAACCUGUGGUGAUUGUUUGAGCCUCUUGGGAGUUCUUAUUUCAUGCUAAACCAAUGGAAUUGCUAUUAUGACGCUCACAUGGGUCAGCACACAAAGAUCUUGCUCGCUCAGCUUGGCUCCCUGCUCCUCUCGCUCGUUUAGUUUUUUCCCCUCACCCCACUGCUAGCUCAAAAAAAAUGCCUAUCUUUUUUUAUUUGAAAAGGUUAGUUACAUUAAAUGAUGUUUAAUGAAUUUUAUAAAUAUUAUGACUUUUAAAAACCAUGAAUUUUAGAAACAUUCAUGAAUUGAAAAAUAUAUUCAUGGUUUCAACAUGUUCGUAAAAUAAAAACUUCUCAAACUUAAAGUAUGUUCACAAACUUUACAUGACCGUGAACUUAAAGAUAUCCACAAAUUUAAUAAAUAUUAACGAACUUGAAGAAUUAAAAAAUAUGUUUAUGUUUUUUAAAGUACACANNNNNNNNNNNNNNNNNNNNNNNNNNNNNNNNNNNNNNNNNNNNNNNNNNNNNNNNNNNNNNNNNNNNNNNNNNNNNNNNNNNNNNNNNNNNNNNNNNNNNNNNNNNNNNNNNNNNNNNNNNNNNNNNNNNNNNNNNNNNNNNNNNNNNNNNNNNNNNNNNNNNAUAAGUUCUCAUGAAUUAAAACAUGAAAAAAUAAAAAGAGAAAAUAAAUAAAUCUAAACAACACACACUUACGUGUGGGGCCCUAUUGACCCCCACAAUCCUCGAAGCACCACAACGCUUCAAUUCAAGGGAGCUUGAGAUCUCUAUAGAUGUGUUCCUUUUUCUUAUUUCACCUUUUGCUUUCUGAUCUUAUUUAUUUUAUGCUUUUUUCCUUACUUUAUAAUUUUUUUGUUUCUCUUUCUGUUUUAGGAGUACGAAAUAUUUUAAAAAAUUGUAGGAACAUAAAUUCUGACACCCAUGAACAACUAUUUAAUAAAUUGUAUCAACCACAGUUGCACAACCCCCUUGACAACGUGCAACUAAUUGGUGGGAGGGUAGUAGUUGCAUUUUUUUUCUUCACAAAUACCACUGACAAUUUUCAUCUUUGAUUUUGCUGUUUGUAAGCAGGGAUCUAUGCAAAAUGGGAUGAGGGCUUAGAACCACUUUAUCGAUCUUAUAUUUUGCUACAAUCCCUCGUAUGCAUUGGGGUAGGAACGUUUUCGGCGACCCUUAUCUUUUUUUUUUCUAACCUAUUUAUGUUAUUUUUUGUCUGAAUCUAUGCGAAAUGGGGUAGCGAAUUUGUGUGUGAAACCUAGAGGAUAUGCAGUGUCUGAUGCACAUCUUAUCUCAUUUUUGUGCAUUCAGGUCAAACACGUUUUGAUGGCUAGCUUAUGUUUAUCAUUCAUGCCAAUAUUUUUCUUAGGGUUAAUUAUCCUUUUGCCCUCAGUGGUGUCCAUGUGCUCAGUUUUGCCCUCAGAUGCAAAUUGUCCUCAGUUUUGCCCCUAGUCCGUGCAUAGCAACUACGACGAGGCCAAACGGCCAUAUUUGAGUCCAUUCCGUCCGCCGGCGUUAGUAGUUGUGGGUCCGGAGCUUACACGUGGGACCGCGUGGACGUGGGUCCGGAGCUGACAUGUAGGCCCCUGCAACUAAAUCCCCAAAUCAUUCUAGCUCACACCCAUCCGCCCGCCCGGCUGUCGUGCGCCGCCGCCGCCGCCACCUGCGCCGCGGCCAGCACCUGCCCCGCCACCAGCUGCACGCCCUGCUCCGCCGCUACCUCCCUGCGCCUACGCUCCACGGCUCAUUGUGACGCCCACCACCUUCCUGCGACGCCACGGGUGGGGCGCCCGCCACCUGCUCGACCCGCGGCGCGGCCUCCUUCCGUGCGCCCGGCCGGAGCGCUCAAAGGUGGGGGGCUGCUGGAGCUAUUUGAACUAGGAGGAAGAACCCUAGGGCGAAAUGGAGAGCAGCGGCGACCCCGGAGUAUUUGGCGAGGCAGGCAUCGGGCCGGAGAUCCGCCGCGUCCACGACUGGGUUCCCGAGGGGUAAGUCUCGCCUCUUGUUUAGAUUGAGCUUAGUUGUGCAUUUGAACACUCGAUUCGAGUAGGUUUGCCCAAUUAGUGUGCUGAUUGCGUCUCUGUUUUUCGCCGGUUAGGAUGGAGUUGCGGUUUGCUUUCAUGGUGCACAUUAGAAGGGACCGGUACAUGUUCGAUGCAAAGGAUAAGAAGAAAUACCAAGGAGGUUUUGAUUAUCGAUUGCCAAUGGCUAGUAAUUGGAGUUUCAGACAAUUUGGGGAGGUAAUUUGUAGCCAAUAUCCUUGGGGUUUGCUUGAUGAAGUGGUUUACAAAUACUAUGAUGGGGGAAAGAAUUGGGUGACAGUUAGUAAUGAUGAAGAGCUAGCUACCAUGUUUGUUAGGCAUAAAGAGAAAGAUAAUUUCCAUGUGAGGCUGCAAGUUGAUGUGCUUGAGCAGGCAUUUGGACCUAGGAUGGCGGGUGCAACAUCUCGGGGAGAAUCAAGUCGUCGUAAUGGCAUCUCUAGCCAGAACAGUUCAGUUGGUGCACGACGACGUGGUGGCUCGACAAGUGUGGGCAACAGUAGUAGGGUCCCCCUUGAAGUGGAGCCUGAUGGCUACAAUUCUGGGGUUGAUGAAGAGAAGUUAUAUUCUGAUGUUAUUCAGAAUUUACGACGGGCACAUAGGGCUGAAAACCAAGAUGAGGCUCACAAUGCAGUCCGUGUGGAUGAUGACGCAAUGGGUGAGGACGAAGACCUUGCAGCUGUUCAAUGGGACCCUUUGAACCCUCAAAUGGAAGAAGGUACAGUUUUUGCAUCCAUGAAUGAGUGUAGAAAUGCACUUGUGACAUACUGCAUCAAGGUAGAACGUACUUUCAAAUUUGACAAGAGCGAUCAAGUACGUUACAGAGUGCACUGUCCGACUGAGGGUUGUCCAUGGAGGCUGCUUGUAGCUAAAAUGCGGAAUAGCACUAAUGUUCAGGUCAAAGUGAAUCCUUUUAAGCACACAUGUCAGGAAUCAACCCUUAGGAAGGAUACAAUCAGUAGAGCCAAGUCAAGAUGGGUGGCAGAAGAAGUAAAAAAGUGGGUGAAAGAAAACCAGCAAGUGGGUCCAAAGGAAUUGCAGAAGAACAUCAAAGAUAAGUUCAAGAUAGAUUUACCAUACAUGAGGUUGUUCAAUGGUAAACAACAUGCUAUGGAUUCUAUUUAUGGUAACUGGCAGGAAAGUUUUCAAUUGUUGUAUUCAUUCAAAGGUGAAGUGGAGAGGACAAGCCCAGGUAGUAUUGUAGAUAUUGAUCACCACACCGUGGAGUACACAUUCAGGGGAGUGACAAAGACCAAGGAAUGUUUUAGAAGUGUUUUUGUCUGCUUUGAGGCUUGUCGCCGGGGUUUUUUGGCAGGCUGCAGGCCUUAUUUGGCUAUUGAUGCCACUUUUCUCACAGGAAGGUUUAAAGGACAGUUAGUAGCAGCUUGUGCAGUUGAUGCACAUAGUUUUGUAUUUCCAGUUGCCUAUGGUGUGCUAGAGACAGAGUCUGAGGAGAGCUGGACUUGGUUUUUGCAUAAUCUCCGCCGGGCUAUUGCACAUCCCAAUGGGUUGGUCAUUCAUACAGAUGCCUGCAAAGGUUUAGAAGUGGCCGUGGACAAUGUGUUCCCUGGAGUAGAGCAUAGGGAAUGCAUGCGUCACCUUGCUGCAAAUUUCAUGAAGAAAUUCAAAGGAAAGGUGUAUACCGACAAUUUAUGGCCAGCAUCUUUGACAUGCAGUGUGAAGAAGCACAACUACCACUUGAGGCAGUUAUACAUGAAUCCCAAAGUGAAAGAAUACUUGGAAACACACCACUCCAAGUUAUGGGCCAGAAGCCAAUUCAGUGAAGUGAGCAAAGUUGACUAUGUGCACAAUAAUCUAGCAGAGUCUUUCAACUCAACGAUCCGGAAACUAAAGGGUCAUUAUGUGGUGGAUUUGCUUGAUAGAAUAAGGAUAGAAUACAUGCAGAAAUUUCAUUAUCGUGCAGGAAUAGCCGAGGCAAAAUUCAUGGGCCACAUUAUCAUCCCUGCCGUGAUGAAUGAACUGAAGCAGAAGACAACAUGCUUGGAAAUGAACAUGACGCUUUGCUCGGGUACCACAACAGAGAUAUCAUAUUUGGAUAAAGAGAAGAGGGAAUGGAGAUAUCCAGUGGAUUUAGAAGCUAGAACUUGCAGUUGUAGGCAAUGGCAGAUAACUGGUUUGCCAUGCAUUCAUGCCUUGUUUUUCAUCACUUCUCUCCCAGGUCCAGCAGGGAACAUACAGCAGUAUGUGCAUGAUUACUACUCUGUUGCAAGGUUCAAAGCCACAUAUGCUUAUGCCUUGCCUGCUAUGGAGGGAAAACAACAAUGGGACAUGGUGGACCCUGGAUUCAAGCUUUGCGCUCCAGUUCCGAAGAGAGCAGCAGGUAGACCAAGGAAGAGUCGAAUAAGACCUCGCAGCGAAGGAGCUGGACUUGGAGCGAGGAAGCGUAAGUGCACAAGAUGUGGUGGGUCUGGUCAUUUCGGUAAGUAUUGUGAUAACACAGUAGAUCCAGCAUUCGGAGAGAGUUUCGAUGAAGGCUUCGAUGAAAAUGUUGGUCAGCAGCCGGUUGCCUCAAUAGAUGAUGAAAAUGUUGGUCAACAGCCGGUUGCCUCAACAGAUGAUGAAAAUGAUGGUCAACAGCCGGAUGAUUUUGACGAUGAUCCAAAAUAUCCUCCAAAUAAUGAUUCAAGUGAGGCUCCAAAUGGUAAUCCAAGUGAGGCUCUAAAUGGUGAUCAUGGUGAUCCAAGUGAGGCUCCAAAUGAUGAUCCAAGUGAGGCUCCAAAUGGUGACCAACCUUCUGUUGUUGUGAGUUCUGCUAGGUAUGUAAAUCUUGCAAGGGUCAAAUACUACUAUACAUCUAUCACUUGACACGAUCUCAUUACCGUUUAUGUUUGGACCCUUUAUGUUUUGCACAGCUCUAUGGUAGGUUUGAAGAAGACGCGCAAGGUACCGACAACCAAGAGAAGAAGAGAAGAAACAAUGAGCACAAGGUUCACGAGGAGCAAAGUGAUGACAAGAAGCUCAAGGAACAGACAGAAGCCCCAACGCUAUCUACGAACAAUUAUGAAACAUUAUGAAUAAGGAAUGAUGUUGUAUUAUGAAACAUUUAUCACUUGACAUGUUGUAUUUCUGUUGGAUGAUGUUGGACCUAUGUUAGAAGUAUGUUUGACAUGAUGUUUAAAUAUCUGUUGGAUGAUGUUUGAAUGAGCACAUGGUUUUUCCUUUUUUUGAUUUUUUUGAAUUUUAUUUUGCUCAUUUAAAUUCUGGUCAAACCUAACUUUGACCAAGAUUUAAGCAAGUCUAAAACAUCAAAAUGAAAAACUAAGCCUGGAUACUUCUUAGUCAAUCCAAAAUGAAGUUGUGGUGAGGUUUUUGAAAUUUUCAUGAAAAAUGUGCUAAAAAGAGGGGUCCAAAGGUAGGGUAAAUGGCCUCAUUUCUAAGCAAGGUUUUUUUCGACCUUAUCUAAAUCAGUCAAAUAACUUUCCUACACAUAUAUUCUAUAUGUACAGACUAUGUGCGCUGGUUUUUCCAUUUUUUGAUUUUUUUUUAAAUUUGUUUUGCUCAUUUGAAUUCUGGUCAAACUUAACUUUGACCAAGAUUUAAACAAGUGUAAAACAUCAAAAUGAAAAACUAAGCCUGGAUCCUUCUUAGUCACUCCAAAAUGAAGCUGUGGUGAGUUUUUUGAAAUUUUCAUGUUCAUUUCCCCAAAACACUUCUCUUCACUUCAUACAAGAGAGUUUGAGAUACUCGAGAUAUCAUACAAUACACAUGAACUUAUCAUUUAAAUGUAUGUAAAGCUUGUUUAUCAACUUAAAUCGUUAGUAUAUGACAUAAGAAGACUAUGUGCGCAGGUUUUUCAUUUUUCUGAUUUUUAUUUAAUUUAUUAUGCUCAUUUGAAAUCUGGUCAAACAUAGCUUUGACUGCUCCAAACCCCUCCCAAACCCCGCUAACCCUAGCGCUGAAUAAGGACCGUUCAUCUAACCCUAGCGGUGAUCAAGGGCCGUCGAUCUAACCCUUCUAGAAGGAAUCUGCGGGGAGGAGGGGGGCGAUCCGCGAGAUGCAAUCUGAUUGGCUGGGAGAUUGUUUUUUUAACAAAUAUCGGGCGCGCUGGAUGGACCAUUGGGCCGUCUCGUUGUCUGGGCCUGAGACUGCAGUAAAUAGCCCGUCUCAGCCUUUCCAGGCCUUGCAUGCAUGGAGGCGGCUACGUGGGUUUGCGCAUGCGCGGGAGGCGGCGACGUGCAUGCAUGCGAGUGAGGCGAGCGAGGCGCGCUAGGCGAGCUAGGCUAGCGAGGCGAGCUAGGUGGUUCAGGGUAGUGGUUCAGGGCAGCGGUUCACAUGCACUCCCCGGUCAAAGAUGCAUCGUUUUCGUGCAAAAAUUUAAGUGUGCAAAAUGUAACGGAUACACACACGCGUCUGGAUUCACACACGCACCAUUCUCAUCCUUUCUCUCUUCCUCUCCCACCCACAGGCCUAUAAAUGGGGUGCCUCUCUUCCUCUCCCACCCACAAGCCAGAUCCAAUCCUCUCCAACUUCAAACACCCAAGCGACCGAGCCCUCCCCAAGCGAGACCAAGUGAAGAAGAUGCAGUUCAACGGGCCGACCUUCAGCCGUCCGCCUGUGGUGCCGGAGUUGCGCUACCCACCGGGCGUGCUUGUGGAGAGGGAGCUCCGUGUGUGGGCUAUUUCAAGGUGGAGGGGUUCCGUCGAACUCAUCCGCGCCUUCCUCAGAGCCGGCUAUGCCCACCUCCCACGGGGCUCGCCGAGGAUGUUCACCCUCAACGAGGUUCGUGACCGCGGCGGCAUCCUCCUACUGCUCACGGUCACCUUCACCAACCCAUUUGACGCGCGCGAGCUCCUCGGCCAAGUCUUUUGGUGCGGCUGCGAGGCCAUCUUCUUCACCGUCUACAACAUCUACACCAACUACGAGCGCAUCUUCCCCGCUCCAGGCCAGAUGCACUCCCUUCCCUACGACGAGGAGGAGGAGGUGUGAAGAUGAAGACGGUGUUGAAGGGGCACGCGCGGCCAAGGUGGAAGAAGGAGGUCAAGAUGAAGAUGUUCAAGCCCGGAGUCAAGCUCGUCAUGUUUGGUUUUUUAUUUUGUUGCUUUUCUAUGUCGUGUCGUGUCGUGUCAUGUUUCAUCAUGUGUCCGUGAACUGUCCGUGAACUUAUCUAAGUUAUUGUAAUGGUACAGUGUGUUCCAUCUUAUUAUGUGUGUUAAAAAAUGUCCGUGCCCAAACUUAUCAUUUCUUCCCUAAACAAGUCAUGAAGUUCGAGAACUUGUGGUUUUCGGAGGGGGUGAGAAGCCCUCUGUUUCAUUCAAACAAAAAGUCAUGAACUAACAUGCAAAUUUAUUCCCUUUAAAUCCUAAACCAAGUGCCACUCUAACCCUAAACCAAGUGCCACUCUGACCAAAAUCAUGUGGUAGUGCAACAUACAUUUUCAACCUUCCAACCCUCCAAAAUUUAAGUGCAAAACAAAGGAAAACCACUCUCACGCGUGUGCAACAUUCACGGUCUCACUAUUUUUUUUUUAAAAAAAUUCACAGUCUCACUAUGUAUACCUUCUUUCCCUACCCAUGUCAAAGUCUUGCCAUCUGUCCUAGCGGUUACCAGCGUAGCCCUAAACACCACAAACCCACGCGGUCCUGGGUUCGAGUCCCCAGGCGCACCAAUUUUUUGUGCAUUUUCCACCCUUCAUUUUUUAGACAUAUUAUGUUUUUCUCAAUGUAAUGCCCUUAAAAAAUGUUCAUUUAUUUUGGCACCUGGCGUAAACCUCUACCAGAGCCGAGGCACAUUUUUCAUGACAUUUUGGUCUUUGAUUUAAAUCAUGGUGUAUUUGAAUUGGAUUAAUUAACAGCUCCAAAAAAUUUCUAACAUUAAUUGUUUGGCUCCGGAAUAAUUCAAUUAGCUUCCACAAAAAGUUUCAGCAUUAUGAUUUACUGCCUAAAUUAAAAUCAGAAUAGAAAACAGAAAAAUACGCAAGAAAACCUCUGAAUGGGCCUAAUUGGAUGCAGUUGGCCCAUUAGUCUAGCCUGCACUUGGCUCUACGCUCCGAAUUUGGCCCAAGAGCAACCUUUUUUUGGACAGAAAGGCAGAGCAGAGAGCUGCAUUUCAUUGAUCAAAAGUUUCUGAAUUCCUAAUUUCUUCUCUUUUUUUCCAACAUAUUUAAAUGUUGGUCACUUCUUCUCUUUUUGUUUCAACAUUUAAACAACUUUAAUCAACAUUUAAACUAGGUGAAUUUCUCAAACAAUUUCAAGAUUACAAAUUCCUUCAUAAUUCAUGCCUUUCCAUACAUUUUCAACAUUACAACCAGUGCGAUUACUAUACCUACAAAUGCCCAAAAGUAUUUGCAAAUGGGUAUUGGUAGUGCUUGAUCUUCAAGCUUCCUAACCUUCUUCUUCAACAUCCUAAGCUCAAUAGCUAGCUCUCUGUCAGUGCGUGCUUCGCCAUCCAUCUCUUCUUCCGGAGCUCGUGGUGUGGCCACUGCCGUUCGUGGCAACAUGCGCAACCAUUCUUCAUGCUCUUCUUGCAGUUCAUUCAUCAGAGUCUUGGCCAGAGCAUCGACCCAAAGAAAGAAGCAUGUCACCUGCAUGAACACUAAACAGAUCAACCCAUUGCUCAAACAUCCCGACGACGAAAAUGGUGCAAUUGCCCCGAUUCUUACCCCAUUCUUGCUGCACACGUAGAACGGACGAUUCUGGUUCCUCGGUGUCUGAGAAACCCUUCGAUCAACGCCCGCCCGGCACCGCGGACAGACGAAGACAGGCAUGUCCACACGCGCCCGGCUCUGCAUCCGCGAGGUGGCGCGGGAGCUUGAGGAAGACAUGGAGCUCGGAGCCGAAGGGGAUCUCAACGCCGCCGCGCCCUCCACUGCCAGCUUCCCACCGCCGCGCCCUCCACAGCUAGCUUCCCGCCGCCGUGCUCUCUCUCUCGCCGUGGUCACCGCCGUGCUCUCUGUCACCGUGGUCACCACCGCUGUCGCCCGCUUAUAUAGCACACCCGCCAAUGGCUCUCUGCUCAACGGCUCUUUGCUGGGUCCCACAAGCCACGCGUGCAACGGUCUGAAUAAAAUUGGCCGUUUCUGCCGCCUGAUCCCACCUGUAAGGGCCGAGUCAAAAGGUUGACCUGACGGAGACGGCAGAGUUCACGGAACGAGUCGGUGCGCACGGACUAGGGGCAAAACUGAGCACAUGGACACCACUGAGGGCAAAAGGAUAAUUAACCCUUUUUCUUAUGCAAGCUUGCAAGUUACUAAGUGGGGGUUACGACUGCAAGUUUUCAAACGGGCCCGCAAUUGUAAUUUUUUAAGUGAGAUCACUACUAGGUUUAUAAGUGAGGUCGCAAACUGCAAGAUUUUCAAAUGGGCUGUGACGCCCCGAGACCGAUGUGCCAGGUGUCUUUCAGUUAUUCGCUGUUGUUGCCAUGUCAUUGCUUGCGUGUCAUGCAUUCCAUAUCAUGUCAUCAUAUGCAUUUUAUUUGCAUACAUGUUCAUCUCAUGCAUCCGAGCAUUUUCACCGUUGUCCGUUUUGCAAUCCGGCGCUCCUAUGUCACCCGGUGUCUCUUUCUACCUCUUUUCAUGUGCGGGUGUUAAACGUUUUCGGUUUGGACCGAGACUUGUCAUGCGGCCUUGGUUUACUACUGGUAGACCGCCUGUCAAGUUUCGUGCCAUUUGGACUUCGUUUGAUACUCCAACGGUUAACCGAGGGACCGAAAAGGCCUCGUGUGUGUUGCAGCCCAACAACCCUCCAAAGUGGCCCAAAACCCACCAAAACCCCUCCAUCUUGGUCGUUCGAUCACGACCGCGUGGCCGAAAACCCCACCUCAUUUGGAGCUUCGUAGCUCCCUCUACCUAUAUAUACGUGUCCCUCCCGGAAUUUUCACGCAGAUAAAACCCUAACUUCCUCCUCCACGCGCCGCCGGACAAUUCUUCUCCGCGCCGGACAAUGUCCACCACCACCGCCACCUCACCCAGACCAAUCCAGAGCCGCCACCUCAGCAUCACCGCCCCCACAACCAACCACCACCCGCCACCUGUCGCCGCCACUCUCCUCCGCCGCCGCGCCUCACCUGCCGGCCCGCCAGGGCCCGCACGGGGCCCUCCGGGCCCGGUCNNNNNNNNNNNNNNNNNNNNNNNNNNNNNNNNNNNNNNNNNNNNNNNNNNNNNNNNNNNNNNNNNNNNNNNNNNNNNNNNNNNNNNNNNNNNNNNNNNNNNNNNNNNNNNNNNNNNNNNNNNNNNNNNNNNNNNNNNNNNNNNNNNNNNNNNNNNNNNNNNNNNNNNNNNNNNNNNNNNNNNNNNNNNNNNNNNNNNNNNNNNNNNNNNNNNNNNNNNNNNNNNNNNNNNNNNNNNNNNNNNNNNNNNNNNNNNNNNNNNNNNNNNNNNNNNNNNNNNNNNNNNNNNNNNNNNNNNNNNNNNNNNNNNNNNNNNNNNNNNNNNNNNNNNNNNNNNNNNNNNNNNNNNNNNNNNNNNNNNNNNNNNNNNNNNNNNNNNNNNNNNNNNNNNNNNNNNNNNNNNNNNNNNNNNNNNNNNNNNNNNNNNNNNNNNNNGCCGGAUCCACCCCGCUCCGGCCACCUCGCCCAACUCCGGCGCCCCAAGCAUCUCCGGCGAGCACUGUUCCAGCGGACUCGGUUCGCGUGUCGCGAGAUCCAGAUCCAGAUCCAUCCCCUCUCGGUUGACUUUUUCGUCCCUAACCCUAAUAUUUUUGCAUACUUUGACAUGCCAUAACUUCCUCAUCGUAGCUCCGAUUUGUGAGUGUAGCAUAUCAAAAUGUUCGUCUCGACGAGUACAUCAUUUCAUCUCAUUGCAUCUUUUCCAUUUGAGCUCAUCUUGAUGCCCGAAAUGUUGUUGGAAGAGGGCUAUGUGAUGAUAGUUUCAGAUCUGUUUCAGCAAAUGCACUUUUGUCAUUUUUUCCAUGAUUAAUGUGUGCAUGCUAUGAUCCUGAGCUCUACAUGUGUUUUGAAAUAUGCCAUGCCAUCUUUACAGGGGUGUAUGCCAUGUAUUUUUGUGAUCUUUGUGGUGACUAGCACAAGCAUGCAAAGUAGCUUACUCAAUGAUGCUGAUUUCAGGGACUUAGAAUUUCACUAAGUCCUUGCCCUGUCAUUAUUUUUAUGCCAUAUGUUCAUAUUGUUUCCUAGUGAUCCGUGCCUCUUUUGAGCAUGAUCAGUAAGGAUGUUUUGUAGAUAUUGUUGUGCUCUAUCCAUCCAGGUCUUUGUUUGCAUUUAUGGAGCACCCUAGCUUGAGUCAAUUGAGUUCUACUUUUGCUAUAAAAUGUUCCUAGGAGAUUGUUAACAUGUUUAGCAAUUUUGCCGAGCUUGUUGUUGUUGAUCCGUGCAUGCUAUGUUGUUGUUGUUCUUGCCAUGUCUAGCUUCUAUGGCAUGUCUAUUUGCUGGGUGUAUGCUUAGUUUGUCAUGCAAUGCCUCGUAGUGAGUGCAUUGAGCUCGUAAACAUGCCUACUCGUUAACUGUUUUGCCAUGCUCCAGUUUUUCACUAAGUCUGAAUCUGUUUAUGUUUUUGCUAUGUUCACAUGCUUGCAAUUGUAUUUUCUGAUCCCUUUUGGCUCAUGGUCACUAAGGGACUUUUGUUAUAUGCUUAGAGUAGCUUCAUUCCAUGCCUUGAUUUGCCAUGAUAUGUUCCUGUAGCAUGUAGUUAUCGUGCUCUAAACAUUGCUUCCUGAUGAUAAAUUCCUGACAUGCUGUUAAUUCCACUAAGUCUGAAACCAGUAAUCUUUUGCAUUUUUGCCAUGCUUGUUUGAACCUGCUAUUGAGUGAAUUAGCCGUAGCUCAGUGUUCAUCUUUUGUCAAGCAUUAUGAGUGGAUCCCUGCCAUGUAUUUUGUUGUCAUGUUGGAGUGCUGUAGCAUGUUGUUCUUGAUGCAUUUAGAUGGCUACUUGUUGUUUAUCACAGACCGGUGCCAUAUUUGUUUUGCUUGCCAUUUCCAAACCGCGCAUCCGAUUCCGGUGAUAUUUAUAUCGAUUUCGACCGAAAUCACCUCACUUUUCCAGUGGCACUCUUGGUUUUCCAAGUUGAGGCCAGGUUCAAUCAUUCCUUUCCAAAGCAUACAUAUGCACCGCAUACCGCAUCCCGCAUAUCAUGCCAUGUUCAUGUGUUGGUUGUUUACUAUGUUGUGUGCUUCUUUCCGGUGUUGCUUCUUCGGGUUGGUUCUGAUAACGUCGCGUUUGUGAGGACCCAUUCGACUACAUCCGUUUGUCUUCUUCAUGGACUCGUUCUUCUUCCUUGCGGGAUUUCAGGCAAGAUGACCAUACCCUCGAAAUCACUUCUAGUUGCUCGCUCUUUUGAUACGCCUAUGCUGCGAUACUUACCACUUGCUUAUCAUGCCUCCCAUAUUGUUGAGCCAAGCCUCUAACCCACCUUGUCCUAGCAAACCAUUGUUUGGCUAUGUUACCGCUUUGCUCGGCCCCUCUUAUAGCGUUGUUAGUUGCAGGUGAAGAUUGGAGUUUGUUCCUUGUUGGAACAUGGAUAUUUGUUGGGAUAUCACAAUAUCUUUUAUUUAAUUAAUGCAUCUAUAUACUUGGUAAAGGGUGGAAGGCUCGGCCUUAUGCCUAGUGUUUUGUUCCACUCUUGCCGCCCUAGUUUCCGUCAUAUCGGUGAUAUGUUCCCGGAUUUUGUGUUCCUUACACGGUUGGGUUAUAAUGAGAACCCCUCGACAGUUCGCCUUGAAUAAAACUCCUCCAGCAAUGCCCAACAUUGGUUUUACCAUUCACCACCUAGCCUUUUCCCUUUGGAGUCACGUUCCCGAGGGUCAUCAUUAUUUUAACCCCCCCGGGCCAGUGCUCCUCUGAGUGUUGGUCCAAACUAGAGCCCUGUGCAGCGCCCCUUCGGGGAAACUCGAGGUUUGGUUUUAGUUGUAUGGAGCGCUCAUCUGAGUGUGCCCUGAGAACGAGAUAUGUGCAGCUCCUAUCGGGAUUUGUCGGCACAUUCGGGCGGUGUUGCUGGACUUGUUUUACCAUUGUCGAGGAUGUCUUGUAACCGGGAUGCCGAGUCUGAUCGAAUUGUCUUGGGAGAAGGAAUAUCCUUCAUUGACCGUGAGAGCUUGUGAUGGGCUAAGUUGGGACACCCUACAGGGAUUGAACUUUCGAAAGUCGUGCCCGCGGUUAUGGGAAGAUGGGAAUUUGUUAAUGUCCGGUUGUAGAAAACCUGAAGUUUAUCUUAAUUAAAAUACAUCAACCGCGUGUGUAGCCGUGAUGGUCUCUUCUCGGCGGAGUCCGGGAAGUGAACACGGUGUUGGAGUUAUGUUUGACGUAGGUUGUUUUAGGAUCACUUCUUGAUCAUAGUUGUUCGACCGUGCUUUUGCCUUCUCUUCUCGCUCUCAUUUGCGUAUGUUAGCCACCAUAUAUGCUAGUCGCUUGCUACAGCUCCACCUCAUACUUUUACCCUUCCUAUAAGCUUAAAUAGUCUUGAUCGCGAGGGUGUGAGAUUGCUGAGUCCCCGUGGCUCACAGAUACUUCCAAAACCAGCUUGUAGGUGCCGAUGAUACCGUGCAGGUGACGCAACCGAGUUCAAGGAGGAGCUAGUUGAAGAUCGUGUUCGUUAUGUUGCUCCGUUUCCAGUUGAUCAGUAGUGGAGACCAGUUGGGACGAUCAGGGAUCUGUGUAGCUUUUGGGGUAGUCUUCUUUUAUUUUGGUUCCGUAGUCGGACCUUGUGUGUAUUUGGAUGAUGUAAUGCUUUAUUCAUGUAUUGUGUGAAGUGGCGAUUGUAAGGCAGCUAUGUAUCUCUUUCCCUUAUGAAUUACAUGGGUUGUGUGAAGAUUACCUCACUUGCGACAUUGCUUUCAAUGCAGUUAUGCCUCUAAGUCAUGCUUCGACACGUGGGAGAUAUAGCCGCAUCAAGGACGUUACAAGUUGGUAUCAGAGCCUUCCCCGACUUAGGAUCCCCCUACUUGAUCGAAUCGUUGGUGUUGUUGAGUAUAGAAAAAUGUUUUGAGUCAUUUAGGAUUAUAUAUAUCGAAGAGUAGGGUUCUUUUUACUCCUCAGUCCCUUCGUCGCUCUGGUGAGGCAUCUUGACGUAGAGUUUUGACUCUUCUCUUCUCAAAUUGCACCAAAAUUUUUUUAGGAUCACGUGGGUAUCUUGGAAUCAUUCUGAUGGUUUUGUGACGAGAACAUUGUUCUUGGUGCCUCCUGUGAUUUAGGGGUUGUGGCAGUGUCCUGGGGAGUUGAGCUCUAAGGUGUUGUCGUCACAAUUUUAUCGUUGAGAUUCUGGAAUAACUGAGUUUCGCCGACGUCGAAAAUCUCUUUUAUGCAGUUGUUGGUGAGAUAACCUCGACGCCACCCAGUACUGGGGCGGGAGUUCAGGAGUAUCGCCAUAACUCGUAUAACGGAUGCUUUUCGAAGGUUGAGGUAAACGAUCUCCGAAGGUUUCUUGGUUAUGUGUUGAAGGAUGGAUACAGCUGGAUGUAGGAUUUGCUAGUUUUUGGGUGAGAUAUUAUGCUUCCCCUGUAUCCCCAACACCUAAUUGCAUAACCGGAAAGUUUCGGGAGUUUAUAAGUGGGAAUUCAAGUAGCUCUUAGGAUAUCUUUCCGACAUAUGUAUGAUAUGAAAUUGGGGUUCGACGUCUAGUGGUCCGCCUAUCCACAGUUGGUUUUAUAGUGGUCUCGUUGUGUCUUAAAGAGUCCUUGGCUAUGCCGACUCGGGGACGCUUCGUAUGUCAUGUGCACUGCCUUGUACAUGAUGGUGCUGUACGAUCGAGCCCCUGUAGGCCCCACCAUGAAAACUUCGGAUGAAAUCUCUAUCUUAUGUUUGUUCCGGCUUAUUCUGCAAGCCAAUCCUUUGUUUUGUGUUGAGUUGUGGUAUUCGAGUUGCUUCAAUGUCAAGUGUUGAUUCCAUACCUUUUCUAAGUGGUGUUCUCAUACUCCUAUGUGAAUGCACUCCUUCUUGAUCAUCGAGAUUGUCAUGUCAAUCUUGUUCAACCGGUGUGUCUCUUUUCAAGUGGAUCCGAUCACUUCAACAUUCGCAAGAUCCAAUCUCUUCUCAACAGCGUUCAUUUCAUUCGUCCCAAGCUGCCUUUGUUUUUCCCGCCCACCCACCCUUGUUUCUUCAAGGACUCAUAUUUCUUUAUCGAGUAUCCAUUUUAUUGAUGUGAAGUCUCUCCAUUCUUUCCGUCGAUAUUCUAAUCUGAUGAUUCUCAGGAUGAUUCUAAUGGAGCUUCGAGUUUAUCAUUCUCCAUUCUUUUCUUCUCCGGUGGAUCCAAUCCAAGCUUUCAAUGUUGACCAUAUUUUUUCCUUCAAAUGUGUUCUCAUGCCGGUGCACCUCUUAAUCAUUCACCUCUCGCUAUUCAUUUGUUCCGGAGUGUUCAAGAUAUCUCGAAGAUUCGUGUUUCCACUCUGCUUUCGUAAUCCUUUCAAGCUCUUUCGAGAUUGUUAUCUCAUUCAAGCCAUUUAAUUCAACCGGUGCAAUCUCUCUUUCAAGUAAUCGUUCAAUGGUGUAUCUUUCAGUGGACCCUAACCCACAUGUCUUUUUCCAGGAUCUUACCUGACUCCUCUUAUUUUCCCGGAGCUAUCCUCAGAUUUCUUUUCGGAGUUUGACGCAAGAAUGAAUUAUCAUCAGCCAAAUGUCUUUCUCCAAGAUCUUUCAAAUUCUUUCAUCGUUCGCUCAACCUCUUCGUUUUUGAUUCAACCAGAGUGUCUAAACAUUUCACGGUGGUGUUUCUCAUUGUCAUUCUCUGCAUUUGAAGACCGAAGAAGAGUUUUACCUCCAUAUCUUAUCCGUUCUCUUAGAGAUUCGUGGUUCUAGUUCGAGGCCAUCCUCUCAUAAUUGUUUUGAUUGUGAGAAUUCUUUUCAUCUAUCCGGAGAAAUUCAAGAGUCUUCUCAGUUUGUUUCUCCGGAGCCCAUCAUCUCAGAAUUAUUCAUGUCAGCUUUCAGUUAUCAUUCUCCAAUCGUACCGGUGCUUCGUUCAAGUGAUCUCUAAUCAGCUCGUGAUCUCUUCGUUCUCAUGGAUCUAAAUUCACUCAAGCAUGUACGUUCAUUUGCUAAUCCUUACCGGUGAUUCAUCCUUUUACUUCAUUCGUUGUUCUAUUCUUAGGGUGGCUCUUCCAGGAUUCUCUUCCGCUGUUAUCAUAUCAAUUUAUUCGUUGCUUCAAUCAUACCGGUGGUUCGUUGAAGACCUUCUCAAGUUUGUGCUAUAUCUAUCUUAAUACUUUCUACGAGAAUAAGUAGUAUGUCAAAUCCGCUGCUUGUCAUCAAUUUAAAUUGGUGAAGGAUAUGCAUAACAUAAUUCUUAUUCUUGUUUCAUCCAAGUGAUAAAUUCCUUCCUUCGGAGUUUGUUCAUCUUUUCUUUCUCAGAGUUCCAAGCUCUAAUUAUCACGGAGAUCCAUCUAAAGCAUUACAAGGUUUCACCUUGUGUUUUCAACAAUCUCUUUCCUUCCGUUUGAUCAUUAUUUUGUUUAACAGAGUUCUUCAUGAAGAUUCUACAUGAUGGUUCAUCAAGGAUUUAAUUCCUUCUUGAAGUGGUCAGUGAGAUUCUUUUCAAAGGAGCUCAAGUAUUUCUCCAUCUUGCAAUCCGAAGUGCAAUGCUUUCUUCCGUAUCCUUGGAGGUGGUAUUAUGUCAUUCUUGGUAAUUUGAGCUCAUGUGUCAUGAUUCACACGUUGUUAAGAUUGAGGUAUUUAAAUCCAUCAAUCUCGUCAUUGGAGUUAUCUUGGGUUAUAUUUCACCUAAAGCCUUCCCUAAGGAUUGUUGCUAUUUAUGGUGCUCAUUUAUGAUCCAAGUUCUUCUUUUAUCCUUCCGGUGAAAUAAGUUCUCGUCUCCUUGUUGAUAUCAAUCCAAUCUAUCGUUUCCGUUAGUGGCAGAAUUUCACCUCAGCUUUGAGAUGUUCUCCAUAAGCCCACUACAAGCUUACUCUUUUCGUUGUUGGUUUUCCAACAACUCCGUUCGACCCUUCUCCUAAAGAUGUUGCUUUCCUCUCUGUUCUUUGGAAUCCAUUCCUACAUUCAUUCCGGAGGCAUUGUGAUGUUGCUCUCUUCAACUCUUCUUCUUCUUGUCAGGACCUUUUUCUUUUCGUGCCUAUCCAUUUAACCGGAGUGUUGUGCCCUUUUGCUCUAGUUCUUUUUGCCUUAUCAAGUCUUGCAUCCCUUCUCAACCGGAGUGCUGUUCGAAGUUGUUCUUCCUUGUUCCUCUUUGCUAACAGAGUGCUUUCAACUUCAUUUAUCUCUGUUGUAUUCUUUUCUCGAAAUGGCUUAACCUUUGCAAGGUUCUUUGGUUUCACAAGUUUGUCAAAGGAGCAACUUAGUUUUACCUCUUCUCUUUCUCUUCCGUUUUCCCCUUCGGUGGUAUUCGAGAUCUCGGGACGAGAUCCUCUCGUAGUGGUGGAGUGUUGUGACGCCCCGAGACCGAUGUGCCAGGUGUAUUCUAGUUAUUCGCUGUUGUUGCCAUGUCAUUGCUUGCGUGUCAUGCAUUCCAUAUCAUGUCAUCAUGUGCAUUUCGUUUGCAUACAUGUUCAUCUCAUGCAUCCGAGCAUUUUCCCCGUUGUCCGUUUUGCAAUCCGGCGCUCCUAUGUCACCCUGUGUCUCUUUCUACCUCUUUUCAUGUGCGGGUGUUAAAUGUUUUCGGUUCGGACCAAGACUUGUCAUGCAGCCUUGGUUUACUACCGGUAGACCGCCUGUCAAGUUUCAUGCCAUUUGGACUUCAUUUGAUACUCCAACGGUUAACCGAGGGAUCGAAAAGGCCUCGUGUGUGUUGCAGCCCAACACCCCUCCAAAGUGGCCCAAAACCCACCAAAACCCCCUCCAUCAUCUCGGUCGUUCGAUCACGAUCGCGUGGCAGAAAACCGCACCUCAUUUGGAGCUUCCUAGCUCCCUCUACCUAUAUAUACGUGUCCCUCACGGAAUUUUCACGCAGAUAAAACCCUAACUUCCUCCUCCGCGCGCCGUCGGACAUUCUUCUCCGCGCCGGACAAUGUCCACCGCCACCGCCACCUCACCCGGACCAAUCCGGAGCCGCCACCUCAGCAUCACCGUCGCCGCAACCAACCUCCACCCGCCACCUGUCGCCGCCACUCUCCUCCNNNNNNNNNNNNNNNNNNNNNNNNNNNNNNNNNNNNNNNNNNNNNNNNNNNNNNNNNNNNNNNNNNNNNNNNNNNNNNNNNNNNNNNNNNNNNNNNNNNNNNNNNNNNNNNNNNNNNNNNNNNNNNNNNNNNNNNNNNNNNNNNNNNNNNNNNNNNNNNNNNNNNNNNNNNNNNNNNNNNNNNNNNNNNNNNNNNNNNNNNNNNNNNNNNNNNNNNNNNNNNNNNNNNNNNNNNNNNNNNNNNNNNNNNNNNNNNNNNNNNNNNNNNNNNNNNNNNNNNNNNNNNNNNNNNNNNNNNNNNNNNNNNNNNNNNNNNNNNNNNNNNNNNNNNCCCCGUCGCGGGCCGCCGAAGCUCCGGCGCCGCCCGCAUCGCCUCGCCACCCCGCUGACCUCGCCAGAUCCGCCCCGCUCCGGCCACCUCCCCGAACUCCGGCGCCCCAAGCAUCUCCGGCGAGCACUGUUCCGGCCGCCUCGGUUCGCAUGCCGCGAGAUCCAGAUCCAGAUCCAUCCCCUCUUGGUUGACUUUUUCGUCCCUAACCCUAAUAUUUUUGCAUACUUUGACAUGCCAUAACUUCCCCAUCGUAGCUCCGAUUCGUGCGUGUAGCAUAUCAAAAUGUUCGCCUUGACGAGUGCGUCAUUUCAUCUCAUUGCAUCAUUUCCAUUUGAGCUCAUCUUGAUGCCCUAAAUGUUGUUGGAAGAGGGCUAUGUGAUGAUAGUUUCAGAUCUGUUUCAGCAAAUGCACUUUUGUCAUUUUUUCCAUGAUUAAUGUGUGCAUGCUAUGAUCCUGAGCUCUACAUGUGUUUUGAAAUAUGCCAUGCCAUCUUUACAGGGGUGUAUGCCAUGUAUUUUUGUGAUCUUUGUGGUGACUAGCACAAGCAUGCAAAGUAGCUUCCUCAAUGAUGCUGAUUUCAGUGACUUAGAAUUUCACUAAGUCCUUGCCCUGUCAUUAUUUUUAUGCCAUAUGUUCAUAUUGUUACCUAGUGAUCCGUGCCUCUUUUGAGCAUGAUCAGUAAGGAUGUUUUGUAGAUAUUGUUGUGCUCUAUCCAUCCAGGUCUUUGUUUACAUUUAUGGAGCACCCUAGCUUGAGUCAAUUGAGUUCUACUUUUGCUAUAAAAUGUUCCUAGGAGAUUGUUAACAUGUUUAGCAAUUUUGCCGAGCUUGUUGUUGUUGAUCCGUGCAUGCUAUGUUGUUGUUGUCCUUGCCAUGUCUAGCUUCUAUGGCAUGUCUAUUUGCUGGGUGUAUGCUUAGUUUGUCAUGCAAUGCCUCGUAGUGAGUGCAUUGAGCUCGUAAACAUGCCUACUCGUUAACUGUUUUGCCAUGCUCCAGUUUUUCACUAAGUCAGAAUCUGUUUAUGUUUUUGCUAUGUUCACAUGCUUGCAAUUGUAUUUUCUGAUCCCUUUUGGCUCAUGGUCACUAAGGGACUUUUGUUAUAUGCUUAGAGUAGCUUCAUUCCAUGCCUUGAUUUGCCAUGAUAUGUUCCUGUAGCAUGUAGCUAUCGUGCUCUAAACAUUGCUUCCUGAUGAUAAAUUCCUGACAUGCUGUUAAUUCCACUAAGUCUGAAACCAGUAAUCUUUUGCACUUUUGCCAUGCUUGUUUGAACCUGCUAUUGAGUGAAUUAGCCGUAGCUCAGUGUUCAUAUUUUGUCAAGCAUUAUGAGUGGAUCCCUGCCAUGUAUUUUGUUGUCAUGUUGGAGUGCUGUAGCAUGUUGUUCUUGAUGCAUUUAGAUGGCUACUUGCUGUUUAUCGCAGACCGGUGCCAUAUUUGUUUUGCUUGCCAUUUCCAAACCGCGCAUCCGAUUCCGGUGAUAUUUAUAUCGAUUUCGACCGAAAUCACCUCACUUUUCCAGUGGCACUCUUGGUUUUCCAAGUUGAGGCCAGGUUCAAUCAUUCCUUUCCAAAGCAUUCAUAUGCACCGCAUCCCGCAUCCCGCAUAUCAUGCCAUGUUCAUGUGUUGGUUGUUUACUAUGUUGUGUGCUUCUUUCCGGUGUUGCUUCUUCGGGUUGGUUCCGAUAACGUCGCAUUUGUGACGACCCAUUCGACUAUGUCCGUUUGUCUUCUUCAUGGACUCGUUCUUCUUCCUUGCGGGAUUUCAGGCAAGAUGACCAUACCCUCGAAAUCACUUCUAGUUGCUCGCUCUUUUGCUGUGCCUAUGCUGCGAUACCUACCACUUGCUUAUCAUGCCUCCCAUAUUGUUGAGCCAAGCCUCUAACCCACCUUGUCCUAGCAAACCGUUGUUUGGCUAUGUUACCGCUUUGCUCAACCCCUCUUAUAGCAUUGUUAGUUGCAGGUGAAGAUUGGAGUUUGUUCCUUGUUGGAACAUGGAUAUUUGUUGGGAUAUCACAAUAUCUCUUAUUUAAUUAAUGCAUCUAUAUACUUGGUAAAGGGUGGAAGGCUCGGCCUUAUGCCUGGUGUUUUGUUCCACUCUUGCCGCCCUAGUUUCCGUCAUAUCGGUGUUAUGUUCCCGGAUUUUGCGUUCCUUACACGGUUGGGUUAUAAUGGGAACCCCUUGACAGUUCGCCUUGAAUAAAACUCCUCCAGCAAUGCCCAACAUUGGUUUUACCAUUCGCCACCUAGCCUUUUCCCUUGGGAGUCACGCUCACGAGGGUCAUCAUUAUUUUAACCCCCCCCCCCGGGUCAGUGCUCCUCUGAGUGUUGGUCCAAACUAGAGCCCUGUGCAGCGCCCCCUCGGGGAAACUCGAGGUUUGGUUUUAGUUGUAUGGAGCGCUCAUCUGAGUGUGCCCUGAGAACGAUAUAUGUGCAACUCCUAUUGGGAUUUGUCGGCACAUUCGGGAGGUGUUGCUGGACUUAUUUUACCAUUGUCGAGGAUGUCUUGUAACCGGGAUGCCGAGUCUGACCGGAUUGUCUUGGUAGAAGGAAUAUCCUUCGUUGACCGUGAGAGCUUGUGAUGGGCUAAGUUGGGACACCCCUGCAGGGAUUGAACUUUCGAAAGCCGUGCCUGCGGUUGUGGGCAGAUGGGAAUUUGUUAAUGUCCGGUUGUAGAAAACCUGAAGUUUAUCUUAAUUAAAAUACAUCAACCGCGUGUGUAGCCAUGAUGGUCUCUUCUCGGCGGAUUCCUGUUAGUGAACACGGUGUUGGAGUUAUGUUUGACGUAGGUUGUUUUAGGAUCACUUCUUGAUCAUAGUUGUUCGACCGGACUUUUACCUUCUCUUCUCGCUCUCAUUUGCGUAUGUUAGCCACCAUAUAUGCUAGUCGCUGGCUGCAGCUCCACCUCAUACUUUUACCCUUCCUAUAAGCUUAAACAGUCUUGAUCGCGAGGGUGUGAGAUUGCUGAGUCCCUGUGGCUCACAGAUACUUCCAAAACCAGCUUGCAGGUGCCGAUGAUACCGUGCAGGUGACGCAACCGAGUUCAAGGAGGAGCUAGUUGAAGAUCGUGUUUGUUAUGUUGCUCCGUUUCCAGUUGAUCAGUAGUGGAGCCCAGUUGGGACGAUCGGGGAUCUAUGUAGCUUUUGGGGUAGUCUUUUUUUAUUUUGGUUCCGUAGUCGAACCUUGUGUGUAUUUGGAUUAUGUAAUGCUUUAUUCAUGUAUUGUGUGAAGUGGCGAUUGUAAGCCAGCUAUGUAUCUCUUUCCCUUAUGUAUUACAUGAGUUAUGUGAAGAUUACCUCACUUGCGACAUUGCUUUCAAUGCGGUUAUGCCUCUAAGUCAAGUUUCGACACGUGGGAGAUAUAGCUGCAUUGAGGGCGUUACAUGGGUCACAGCUGCAAGUUUCCAAAUAAGAGCGCAAUACAUGUUUUCACAAAGGGCCACAGCUACAAUUUUGCAAGCGAGGUCGCAAGUACAAGUUAUCAUGUGGCAUCACAACAGCAAGUUUUCAAAUAGGAUUACAACUACAUGUUUUCAAAUGAGAUCAAAAUUGCAAGUUUUGAAGUAAGGUCGCAACUACAAGUUUUCAAGCGAGGUUGCGACUGCAAGUUAUCAGGUGGGGUCUAAUUGUGAGUUUUCAAAUGAGGUCACAACUGCAAGUUUUCAAGCAGGGUCACAAGUACAAGUUUCAAGCAAGGCUGCAGGUGCAAGUUAUCAAAUGGGGUCGCGAGUGCAAGUUUUCACGGGGCCACAACUAUAAGUUUUUUGGUGGGGUCGCAACUGCAAAUUUUCAAACGGUGCGCAACAGCAAGAGUUUUAAAAAAGGAUCGCAAUUGCAAGUUUUUAAAAUUGUGAUGAGGGGGAGGGGAUGAUCGCAAUUGCGAGUGAUAGCGCGUGUGUCUUAACUCAUGGGUCCUAAGAUUUUUAAUGUUAUUAGGGAUUUUCAGGAGGUUCUACCACAGCUAAGGGAAGUUGACAUUUUUGUGUUAGUUGACUUUUGUAUUUUUCAGCUUCUUGGCUUUUCUUCACUUUCCAUUCACCUUUUGCUGCCUUUUUCCAUCGCAUGAGAACAAAAUUCAAAGACGAGGAGAAAUGCCUUUUUUUAGUUGCAGUCUACCCUUUUAAGAUGCAUCUGCAGUACAAUGUGACAUUUUUUUUUCAUUUCCACCCAAUAUCAGCAUGCUGGCGUCGAUGCAUAAGUCAACAUGUUUUUCACCCAUUUUUCAGUACGUUUCUAUUUAGAUCAAAAUAUAAUAUUGUUACAAUAGACCCAAUUAAAAAAAUUGCAAUGCCAUUUUUUCCUUUCCCCCCCUCCAUUUUAUUUUAUUUUAUUAUUUUGUAGGAAGCACUACAUGUAUAUUUCUUACAGGUGGAUUAGCAAAAAGAAAAUUUGAACAAAUUUUCAAUAGGAACAUGUCAUUCAAUGAAAUAUUUUUUUUACAUACAAAGCAUAUUUUUUGAACCAAAGAAUAAAACAACAAUAGAAAAACUCGAAAAGGAAAACGAGCAUAGGAGUCACGGUCACAUGGGCGUGUUCAGGCUAGUAUGUGAGUUCUUGGAGCCGAACUUUAUCAUUUUAGACCACCCGCGCGUUUAUAUUGUCAAAAAAAGACCACCUCAGAAUGGUAUUAUCAAAACUACUAUGGCGACAGACCCGACAGCCGAUACGUGGCACCUGCUAACAUAGUGAGAGACAGCAAGGCCUGCCGCCACAGUCCGUGACGACAGCUUGGGCAUAACAGGAAUUCAGACAAGCUGACUGUGCAACGGAACGGGAGGCCCCCGGUGCCCUGCCGCCAGAGCAUAUGGCGGCACCCUGUGUUGUUGGUGCAUAUCGUUGCGACGGGUUGUACUACUGCUUCAACCAAUCGUUAAUUUCAGUAUAUGGUCAAAUAGCACUCUAUACUAUAAAAAUGUAGUACGUACCAUGCUUUACGUUCACAAUUGGGAACAUGUAUGUGUUGUUCUUUCCAAUGAAGGAAUUGAUGGAUCCUCCCAUCUGACUGGCGGUCGAAGAGCUAGCAGAGUGAAUGAUCAACGUGAGAGCAAGUAUAAUAAGGUGACAUAAGCAGACCAUAAGGAUUUAAAUAUGAUAUUGUCGCUGAGUUAGAAAAGAGAGAAGAUGAGAGAGAAGAGAAGCGGGUUGUAGGCUUAUAGCCAGCACAAGCUCCAAAAAGCUUUGUGACACUGGAAGGUGGGUCAUAUGUUGACAAAGUAGUACUUUUUUUAUAGCCAACUAUUCUAUGUGUUGGCUAUUAUAUUGAUUGUAGAUGACAUGACAACAUGUUAUAACCAGUAGCUGGCUAUAUUAUUAACCAUGGAGGAGUUGUCGAUUCAAAGCCCAAUCAUGUCAGAGCAGCACCAAAAGAGGGUGCCGCCACACGCGAUGGUGGCAGGGCCCACCGGCCUCUGUUCCGUUGUAGCUGUCCUGCUCGGCCGAAUUCCUGUUAUGCUUGGGCCACCGCUGUGGGAUGUUGCGGAAGGUGCCACGUGUCAGCUGUCGGACCUGCCGCCAUGGUAGUUUUUGCAAUACCAUUCAGAGGUGAUCUUUUCUGAUAAUACAAACACGUAGGCGGUAUAAAAUGAUAAAAUAUCAUUGGGGCCAGCCACAGUCGGGCCAACUCGGGAGAGAAGAAGACAAUGCAUGAUGAACAAUGGCCUAACUACUAAGUUAUGGGAAGAUACAUUAGCCAUGCAAUACGCGUGUCUCUAUCAUAUUGUGCAAUGAAAAGAUGUCUUUGUUGUCUCUGUGAUGGGCCAGGUAUCAUUGAAUGCUGCCUUUGAAAACCACUGACUAGGGACAAAUGUACUAGUUAAACCUUGUUGAAAGGUUGAUGAUGGUCAAUAUUUCACAUGAAUCAGAUACAUUCUAUUGUUGGAAGUGAACUACUUCUAGUUCCUUCUCGGUUAGAUCCAUGUAUACAGACUUCAUCAAUGAUAGGCAAUCUUUCCACCAUAAAUAUAUUUGAAAAAUGAAAGUCCCGUUGACAAUUAAAUCUUCUUGUGGUUUUUAGAUCUCAAGGUCAUCUUGACAAAAGAUAAACUAAAUAAAAGGAAUAGACAAGGAUGCACUAAGUGUUGCUUUGUGACGAUGAGGAGUCGAUUCAACAUUUAUUUCUUCACUGCUCACUUGCCAAGCUCUUAUGACAAUUUACCUCCACCCAUGAGUAGUAUGAGUAUAUGCAGAAACUGGCUAGUGGGGUGCAUCCAAAGUUGAAGUCUCACAUCCCUGUGAAAACUUGCACUUUACUUUGGGUCAUUUGGAACACUCGUAAUGAUUUUAUUUUAACAAUAUGAAAGUUUCAAUUUUGUGUAGAUUAUCUUCAACGUCAUCAGCCGGAUUCAUACGUGACCAUUACUACACAAGGAGGAGGAUUGGGCACCAUGACCUUCGGGUUCAACCGAUGAGAGAUGGUCUCUUGAAAUUAGUUCAACCAGUUUGGUUGACAGCCUACUAGCAGGUUUGUGAUGCAUGAAACUCAAUUUUCUACUUCAAUUGGGGCAACCAUAUAUGACACUAGACCUGCAACGCACCACCUGGCGCGCGGUGCCCGGUCCUAACACUUUGAGUAAGCAUGUGUGUCAGCUAUACUUUAAUAGUGAGGCAAGCUAAGUAUGUAUAACCAGCACAAUAACUCAGUGCGCCCGGUUAAAGUGUAAUGGCAGUGCCUAAACGAAAGGCUCAUAGUAAGGAUAUACCGAAAGCAAGUAUUGUUGCUACUUGGUAUAAGAUCUUUUUAUUAAAGUCAUGGCAAAAGGCAAGGAAAUUAAAUGUGCCAAAUGCAAGGUAAGUAUGUCAUAUUUUGUUAACAGAACUUCUCAUUUGGAUUUUCAUGUGAAAUGCGAAUAUAUAUUUUAUUCCAAAAGCGAGUAAAGUUAGAUACAAACAUCAUACUUAUUACAUAGCAACAGCAAGCCAUAGCGGCAACGAAAUAAGGAGCUUAUAUAGUUCCACAUAAGCAUACUCUUAGAUAGCUUCACUUGAUCGUCUCGUCAUUCUGACACUUCACAGGACACAUCACAUGAACCUGAUGUGAGUAAUUUGUUUAGUCAGUUGAAAAAAUAUGAUGUGUUCUUCAUGGACAACAGAAUUAUCAAUCUUGAACCAAAAGUCAGUUAUGUAAUACUGCAGCAAGCAUCACUAAAAAGUAAAUAAUAAGGAAAUAUACAAAUAUACACAUUCAUAUUGCUGAUAUCAUGAAAAAAAAUAGAAUACAGCUAUAGGGAUUCCCUGAAUCCCGUGCAUCUGGAGGCAAUGCAGAUCAUCCCAACCCAUUUGCCUCCUGUCCCUAUAGAACAUAAUUAAUAAGGAAAUAACAACAAUGCUCGUAGAUACACAUAAUUGACUCUUUCUUGAUCAAACGUUAGGUUGAAAGCGGAUUCAAUUGUUCAGUGAUGAAUUUAACAACUUGGUUUAGAAGCAGCACUGUCCUAUGCCAUGUUUUUCUAUAUAACUAAAUAACAUACAUGAUGACAAUCCUAUGGCCUAAGAAUUGUUUGAGAUCAUGCCAAUGUACAGAAACAUAAAAAACUAUCUACAAAUCCAGGUACAUAUUUGUUUUAGAGAGAACACCUCGUCUUUUUGAAAGAAGCAAACUGACCAACUUCAGACUAUAUACGAAUCAAACAUGUAUGGGAAACAUAGUUCAAGAAGAUUCCAUUUUAAUCUCUUUCAAAAAUAAUGUUUUCUCUUCAGCACACCAUUUUGAUUUAAACCAUGAAAGGUCCCUCUGCUGAGUUUGCCUCCAAGCACAAACCCAGAAUUUCCUACAUCAUCACAUACCUUUAGCAUCUGACCCGAGUAAAAUGAUGUGUUCAUUAGAGAGAUAGAUAGAGAGAGAGAGAGAGGUGAAUCUGGAUGAAGUAGAGAUGGGGGCUGGAGUUGGAGGCGCCAGAGCUCCGACCAUCUCCAAGGCGGUGUUCCUAGAGGCGGCUCGCCAUUGGGGAACGGAGUUGAGAGCUGGAGUAGGCCACUCUAGGGACUGGAUGUGCUGUCGGCCCCUCAACAGUGCGAGAGAAGGGUCGUGCUCCUCCCGCCGAGUGCACACGAGCAUGCGGCCAGCCGCACCACACAUGGUUUCAUUUUAGCUAACCCUACAUCAUACAUUGUACAAAAACACAUGGAAAUGCAAAGCAAACAAAUAAGUAGAUAUGACCGGUAAUGGACAAUAUUAACUUACUGGACACACGGUCUUGUGUAUCGAGUAUAAGAGUAUAACCACAGAGAAGUGAUAAACAUGUGUUUGAUGGCAAGAGAUAAAUUAUAAGACAAGUCACUACACCUUAUGAACAACUAUUAUUCUCUUAUUAUUACCGUGCCACCCAUGCCAUCAGAGAAACUUUGAGCUAUUAUUUUUCCAGACUAUAUGACCUUCUUUUGUUUAUUUUCUAUGCAUAGAUUGUUCACUUCCUUGAUCUAUAGUUUUAUAUUGCCAACAACUGAUCCAAACAGCAGAAAGGCAAAAAUUAGGCAUGAUAUAUACAUACAUUUUUCUGAUGAAUACAGAUAAUAAGGGUUGAUCACAACUAUAGGUUGUUAUGAUCCAAAUGCUGGUGCAUAUUACUACUCUAGGCCAGUGUGCUACCUCUGGUGUCUUGGUCCUCUCACAAAGGCUCGGUUCACUGCACAUAGUUUCAAUCCUUGACUUUUUAACAUGGUGGCGCUUACGAAGGCAUCUACCUGAAUAACCGAACCGACCAACAUGUCAAACACAACAUCAUCGAUGGAAUUCAAAGAUAAUGGCGCCUGCUACUGAAGGUAUACAUACAUACUUUCGUCAUCAUUGAAGUAGAUUGGGUCAUCGACAUUGACCCCUUUCAUAAGUACCUAGUAUUCGAACCCUAGUAAAAGUGAAAUUUAAACACAAGAGGAUUGUUAUUAGCAUGGGCCUAGCAAGAAUAGUCUUAAUUUAAAUAUCAAACAAUCACAUCGACAACCAAAACUGGAGUUAAUAGAGUACAUCAGAACUGAAUCUAUGCAUGUUUACCAAAUUUGAAUUCAUAUUAAUUAGCAGGAAAGUAAUAUUGGCAAACUGAUCUCCUAAUAAAAUUGAAUCAGAGACAAAUAUCCAAAGGCCCUCCUAAAUUCUGUGCGUUUCUCCGCAUUCUUGUAAGUUAGAAAUGGGGGACCAUAAAUUCCUCGAUUAGAAAUAGCCAAUAUAUCAAAUACAGUUUGGAGGCUUAUCCAUGACAUAGGUUAUCUUGCUAUGAACACUUGAACAGAGCAAGCACAAACUAAGGUAGGGAAAAAAAGAACAGGAGGCUACCUCCAGGCCAGCACAACUAGAGCACGGAGGCAGCUGCCAGUAACAAUGAGUUCACAACAGCGAUGAAUUCAAUGUAAAUGUAUAUUAUCAUUUGUAUAUGCAGUUGCUACCUGAGUCCUAAAAAGAGUGGAAUAAGUGUGAGCUGAGAGAAUGGACCAAGACAAAUUUAAAAAUUAUUUCUUGCACAAGUCUAUUUGCAUAUGAUUUUUAAUUUGGAAGCCACCUGGCAUGAUAUUUUUAACUGAAUUAAAUGUCCAAUACUAUGUCCAGAAUUAAACCUGGCAUUGACCGAAAUCAUGGGAUUACUGAAAUUAUAUUUGUAUCCGAAAACCCAACUAUCUAUAGAAAAUCAGAGAGAAUCUAAAAGGACCAUCUGACUAAAUAUUCUCGUACGACAGAUUCUACCAUGCCACAGCGAUGUGCAUUCUACUUUGACACUUUUUUAUUUUCUUUCACUGAAGCGUGCAACUAAAAAUACCAAACCAGGGUUUACAAUCAAAGACAAGAUUGCAUUAUUGUACUUGAGCAGAAACCAAUACAACUACUCAUGCAUUGGUGUGGCAGUGUUUUAUUCACGAUACCAUUUAUAGAAGCUAACGAAAUGUGUACACUGAACCAGGACAUUCCUUUUUCUAUGGUGAAAAUAAAUAACUAUGCACUCUUGGCCUUCUUCUGGCCAUAUAAAUUCUCAAGCACUUUCAGAUUUCUCAAACAUUGCUUUUCUCUGACAACAUAUCCAUUAUCCAACUGAUUCAAGCAAUUAACUCCGAACAUGGCAGCUGAGAGCCACUGUCUUCCUCAACAGAAAGGAAGAGCAAACUAAGAACGGGCUUGACCUAGCAAAAUACAAUUAGCGAAAUACCAGGAUGCACAUAUUCCAGUGACCGCCCUUGUCCACGUAUGUGGGCACAUAUUCUGUCGUGCUAAAUAUUAAUUAAAGCGCUGCAAGCAUGGAAGGGAGGAAGGAAAGGCCGUCACUUUACCACUAUCGUAUAAAUUGAUGUUGCAGUUGCUGUCGCGGUGCUUCUGUUGGUGCAAGGGAGUGAGCUCACCGGAGAUGGCUGGUUUCACCGGGCCAUGGUUGAUGGCGCCUGCAUCUAUUGGUCUUCACUGCAUCUGACGAUGGUGGUGGUGCUGCUACUGCGAAGAAGGUCCUAGACCAGGCAGCAGCUACACGCCUCCUCUGCUGCUUGCCGCAGCUCGACCUUCGUAGGCUGGAUGGUACCUCUUCCAUCUCCAUCAGGUGGCCAAGUUGACAGCAAGUCAUGCGCACGACGAAAGUGUCACCACCCGCCGAUCUAGCUGCAAGACGAGAAACGAAUCGGGAACAUGUAUACCCAACAGAUAGCUAGGAGAGAACCAUACGAAAUCGAGAGGAAGAGCACCUGAAGGACAACGGCAAUAGCGAUGUGGAUGGACGUCUUGGCGGCUGAUGCUCCUCCUGUGAUGGCGAGGUGCGGCCGUCGCCUUUGGCCCUUCGUCGCUGGUGACAUGCAGGUCGUCCCACGCGCAGACGUGGCUAUGGGUGGAGAAGACGAACCAGAGGCCGUCGGGGUGUGCUCGAUGCGACCCUCGUACGGUACUACCAGUCCCUAGCCUUGCUCCUAUGCUGCUGAUACGUCUCCGUCGUAUUUAUAUUUUUUGACUGUUUCAUGCCAAUAUUUAUACAACUUUUACAUAUUUUUGGCAACUUUUUAUAUGAUUUAUUGGACUAACCUAUUGAUUCAGUGCCCAGUGUCAGUUCCUGUUUUCUGCAUGUUUUUUGUAUGAUUAUCCAUAUCAAACAAAGUCGAAAUGCAAUAAAAUUUUACGAAGAAUUAUUUUGGAAUGUAUAUGAUUUUGGGGAGUUGGAAUCACCGCAAACGGAGGCCCGAGGUGGGCACGACCCACCAGGGCGCGAUCCCGGAGCGAGGCGUGGCAUGGUGGGUUGUGCUCACCUCGUACGUCGGUUGGGGCUCUACUUCGGGCGCAAGAAAUCUUAUAUCUGAAAAAAUCGUGUUAAAAUCUCAGCGCAAUUGGAGUUACAGAUCUCCGAGAAUAUAAUAAAUGAUUUUCGGCCAGAUCUGCAGAACGCGAAACGGAAGAGAACAAAGAGGGAGAUCUAAUCUCGGAGGGGAUCCCACCCCUCCGCCGCCAUGGAGGCCAUGGACCACAGGGGGAACUCUCCUCCCAUCCAGGGGGAGUCCAAGGAAGAAGAAGAAGGAGGGGGCUCUCUCUACCUCGCUUCCGGUGGUGCCGGAGUGCCACCGGGGCAAUGAUCGGGACGGUGAUCUACAUCAACAAUCUUGCUACCGUCAACACCAACUCUCUCUCCCUCUAUGCAGCGGUGUAACACCCCUUCUCCCCGCUGCAAUCUCUACUUAAACAUGGUGCUCAACUCCAUAUAUUAUUUCCCAAUGAUCUAUGGUUAUCCUAUGAUGUUUGACUAGAUCCAUUUUGUCCCGUGGGUUAAUCAUGAUCUUGGUUGGUAUGAUUGUAUAUUUUAUUUAUGGUGUUGUCCUACGGUGCCCUCCGUUCUUGCCCAAAUGUGAGGGGGGCCCGCUGUAGGGUGUUGCAAUAUGUUCAUGGUUCGCUUAUGGUGGGUUGAGAGAGUGACAGAAACUUAAACCCGAGUAGGUGGGUAUGACGUAUGGGAAUAAAGAGGACUUGAUACUUAAUGCUAUGGUUGGGUUUAACGACCUUAAUGGUAUUUAGUAGUUGCGGAUGCUUGCUAGAGUUCCAAUCGUAAGUGUGUAUGAUCCAAGUAGAGAAAGUAUGUUAGCUCAUGCCUCUCCCUCAUAUAAAGUUGCAAGAAUGAUUACUAGUACUUGUUAUCGAUUUCCUAGGGACAAAUAACUUUCUUGUUGACACGAACCCUUUUACUAAACACCCAACUCUUUUUUAUCUUGCAAAGUACUUCUAUUUUUGUUCUUGCAAAGUAGUUCUAGCAUCACUCCUACAAACUAUUUUCAUACUUGUUUCCGGUAAAGCAAAUGUCAAGUGUGCGUAGAGUUGUAUUGGUGGUCGAUAGAACUUGAGGGAAUAUUUGUUCUGCCUUUAGCUCCUCGUUGGGUUCGACACUCUUAUUUAUCGAAGAAGACUACAAACGAUCCCCUAUACUUGUGGGUUAUCAAGACCUUUUUCUGGUGCUGUUGUCGGGGAGCAAUAGCGCGGGGUGAAUAUUCUCGCGUGUGCUUGUUUGCUUUAUCACUAAGUAAUUUUUAUUUUUGCUCUUGUUUUCUAUCUUUAGUUAUGGGUAGGAAAUGCAAAAUACCAAAAAAUUAGUUGUACCUGCUAAACCAAUGGUUGAAGAACCACCCAAAACCUAUCAUACUGCUGAAGGUUUCUACUUGGAUCAUCUUCGAUCCAUUUGUGCUCAUGCUGAAAACCCAACUACUCCCUCCGUCCCAUAAUAUAAGAACGUUUUUCAAGCUAAAACAGUUUGAAAAACGUUCUUAUAUUGUGGGACGGAGGAAGUAACUUAGAUGAGGGAAAAUCAUUAGAUGAGCAUGCUUGUUUUGUGCGACACCGCUGUGUGAAAAAGGGAAACUUCUACAACAUCAAUUUAAUACUAUGCAAUGCUAUGCUUGGAAUUUAUGUGAAUUAUAUGAUUUUACUUGUUGUUACGAAGACCCUAAGAAACACCUUCCCUACCAAUGUGAGUUUAUUGAUAAUAGAAUUGUAUCUUCUUAUACCAAAGGUGUUUAUAAUUACUUUGAUAUUGAACAAACUGAAGAAUUUGUUGCUUUUAAGGGUUCUAUGAAAUUGCUUCUUUGAUUGAAAAGUAUGAUGCUACUCUUUACAAAUCUAAAAAUCUUGCCAUACUUAAAUAUUGUUAUGAUAAUUAUGCUUCUAAUGCCUAUGUUAAACCAUAUAUUGAGGACUCCUCCGCUGUCAAAGAAGAGACUAACAUUUUGCAAGAGUCUAUGGAAGAAGAAAAUGAUGAAACUCUGAGCUCAUUGGAUGAAAAACAUGAGGAGGGAGCGAAGAACAAAAGGAGGAAGAGCGGAUUGAUCACCCGAGCCCACCUUCUAAUGAGAGUAACUCUUUAUCCCAUACAUUGUUUAAUUCCCCUUCAUUCUUAUCGAAGGAUGAAUGCUAUGAUGAUUGCUAUGACCCCGUUGAUUCAUUUGAAAUAUCCCUUUUUGAUAAACUUGAUGCUUGCUAUGAUUAUGGCCAAGAUGCCAAUAUGAAUUAUGCUUAUGGAGAUGAACUUGUAGCAGUUCCUUAUAUUAAGAAUGAAAUUGUUGCUAUUGCACCCACACAUGAUAGUCCUAUUAUCUUUUUGAAUUCUCCAAACUACACUAUAUCGGAGAAGUUUGCACUUAUUAAGGAUUAUAUUGAUGGGUUGCAUUUUGCCACUACACAUGAUAAUUUUGAUGAAUAUAAUAUGCAUGUGCUUGUUGCUCUGUUACCUCUUGAGCACUUGCAUUGGUUUUCCCUUGAAGAUGAAAGGGUGAUGCAGCAGAGUAGCGUAAGUAUUUCCCUCAGUUUUUGAGAACCAAGAUAUCAAUCCAGUAGGAGGCCACACACGAGUCCCUCGUACCUACACAAACAAAUAAAUCCUCACAACCAACACGAUAAGGGGUUGUCAAUCCCUACACGGUCACUUACGAGAGUGAGAUCUGAUAGAUAUGAUAAGAUAAUAUUUUUGGUAUUUUUAUGAUAAAGAUGCAAAGUAAAAUAAAAGGCAAAGGAAAUAACUAAGUAUUGGAAGAUUAAUAUGAUGGAAGAUAGACCCGGGGGCCAUAGGUUUCACUAGUGGCUUCUCUCGAGAGCAUAAGUAUUCACGGCGGGUAAACAAAUUACUGUUGAGCAAUUGACAAAAUUGAGCAUAGUUAUGAGAAUAUCUAGGUAUGAUCAUGUAUAUAGGAAUCACGUCCGAGACAAGUAGACCGACUCCUGCCUGCAUCUACUACUAUUACUCCACACAUCGACCACUAUCCAGCAUGCAUCUAGAGUAUUAAGUUCAAGAGAACAGAGUAACGCUUUAAGCAAGAUGAAAUGAUGUAGAGGGAUAAACUCAUGCAAUAUGAAUAAACCCCAUCUUGUUAUGCUCGAUGGCAACAAUACAAUACGUGCCUUGCUGCCCCUACUAUCACUAGGAAAGGACACCGCAAGAUUGAACCUAAAGCUAAGCAUUUCUUCCAUUGCAAGAAAGAUCAAUCUAGUAGGCCAAACCAAACUGAUAAUUCGAAGAGACUUGCAAAGAUAACCAAUCAUACAUCAAAAAAUUCAGAGAAGAUUCAAAUAUUGUUCAUGGAUAAACUUGAUCAUAAACCCACAAUUCAUCGGUCUCAACAAACACACCGCAAAAGAAGAUUACAUUGAAUAGAUCUCCACAAGAGAGGGGGAGAACUUUGUAUUGAGAUCCAAAAAGAGAGAAGAAGCCAUCUAGCUAAUAACUAUGGACCCGUAGGUCUGAGGUAAACUACUCACACUUCAUCGGAAGGGCUAUGGUGUUGAUGUAGAAGCCCUCCAUGAUCGAUGCCCCCUCCGGCGGAGCUCCGGAAUAGGCCCCAAGAUGGGAUCUCGUGGAUACAGAAAGUUACAGCGGUGGAAUUAGGGUUUUGGCUCCGUAUCUGGUAGUUUGAGGGUAUGUAGGUAUAUAUAGGAGGAAGGAGUACGUCAGUGGAGCAACAGGGGGCCCACAAGGGUGGAGGGCGCGCCCAGGGGGGUAGGCGCGCCCCCUACCUCGUGGCAUCCUGAUUGAUGUCUUGACGUAGUGUCCAAGUCCUUUGGAUCAUGUUCGUUCUGAAAAUCACGUUCCCGAAGGUUUCAUUCCGUUUGGACUCCAUUUGAUAUUCUGUUUCUGCGAAACCCUAAAAUAGGCAAAAAAACAGCAAUUCUGGCUAUGCUCCAUCUUCACCACACAAAGUAUUCAAAUCAUGCACAACCCCGAUGACAAGCCAAGCAAUUGUUUCAUACUUUUAAUGUUCUCAAACUUUUUCAAUUUUCACGCAAUACAUGAGCGUGAGCCAUGGACAUAGCACUAUAGGUGGAAUAGAAUGGUGGUUGUGGAGGAGAAAAAAAAGGAGAAGAUAGUCUCACAUCAACUAGGCGUAUCAACGGGCUAUGGAGAUGCCCAUGAAUAGAUAUCAAUGUGAGUGAGUAGGGAUUGCCAUGCAAUGGAUGCACUAGAGCUAUAAAUAUAUGAAAGCUCAACAAAAAGAGACUAAGUGGGUGCGCAUCCAACUUGCUUGCUCACGAAGACCUAGGGCAUUUUGAGGAAGCCCAUCAUUGGAAUAUACAAGCCAAGUUCUAUAAUGAAAAAUUCCCACUAGUAUAUGAAAGUGAUAACAAAGGAGACUCUCUAUCAUGAAGAUCAUGGUGCUACUUUGAAGCACAAGUGUGGAAAAAAAGAUAGUAGUAUUGCCCCCUUUUUUGGGCCUUCUUUUUUUCUUUGGCCUUUCUCUCUCUUUUUUUAUUUGGGACAAUACUCUAUGAAUGAUGAUCAUCGCACUUCUAUUUUAGAACUCAAUGAUUACAACUCGAUACUAGAACAAAGUAUGACUCUAUAUGAAUGCCUCCAGCGGUGUACCGGGAUAGCAAUGAUGCAUGAGUGACUUAUUUGAAAGAAUUAUGAACGGUGGCUUUGCCACAACUAAAAUGUCAACUACAUGAUCAUGCAAAGCAAUAUGACAAUGGUGGAGCGUGUCAUGAUAAACAGAACGGUGGAAAGUUGCAUGGAAAUAUAUCUCGGAAUGGCUAUGGAACUGCCAUGAUAGGUAGGGUGGCUGUUUUAAGGAAGGCAUAUGGUGGGUGUAUGAUACCAGCGAAAAGUGUGCAGUAUUAGAGAGGCUAGCAAUGGUGGAAGGGUGAUAGUGCGUAUAAUCCAUGGACUCAACAUUAAUCAUAAAGAACUCACAUACUUAUUGCAAAAGUCUAUUAGUUAUAGAAGCAAAGUACUACACGCAUGCUCCUAGGGGGAUAGAUUGGUAGGAAAAGACCAUCGCUCGUCCCCGACCGCCACUCAUAAGGAGGACAAUCAAUAAAUACAUCAUGCUCCGACUUCUUAACAUAACGGUUCACCAUACGUGCAUGCUACGGGAAUCACAAACUUCAACACAAGCAUUUCUCAAAUUCACAAUUACUCAACUAGCACAACUCUAAUAUCACCAUCUCCAUAUCUCAAAACAAUUAUCAAGUUUCAAACUUAUCAUAGUAUUCAACACACUCAUAAGAAAGUAAUCUGCAAAACCAUCUCCAUUAUUGGACUCCGUUUGAUAUUCUUUUUCUGCAAAACCCUAAAAUAGGCAAAAAACAACAAUUCUGGGCUGGGCCUCCGGUUAAUAGGUUAGUCCCAAAAAUAAUAUAAAAGUGUAUAAUAAAGCCCAAUAAUAUCCAAAACAGAAUAUAAUAUAGCAUGGAACAAUAAAAAAUUAUAGAUACGUUGGAGACGUAUCAUGCUCCUACUUGCAAUUAUUAUGAGAGAGGAACUACAUCUCUGCCUCUCUAUGUUUUCAACACGAUAGAAUUGCAAGAAAUUGCUUAUACUAUGCAUUGGCCUUUACUUGAUGUGAAUGAAUUGUUCUUGUAUGACAUGCUGAUGCAUAGGAAGAGAGUUAAACUUCGUCAUUGCAUGAUAUAUGUUGCUUUGUACUCAUUACUAAAUGCCAAAUCAUUGUUAAUUAAAAUUGGCUUUGAUAUACCUUGGGAUCCGGGUGGAUACAUUACUUGAGCACUUUAUGCCUAGCUUAAUGGCUUUAAAUAAAGCGCUGCCAGGGAGACAACCCGGAAGUUUAGAGAGUCAUUUCUUUCUGUUGAGUGCUUUAUAAAGUUUAAAAACAAAAAAUAUAGAGGGGAACUUAAAAAUCUUUUCACAAAAGAGAAGCGAUCGGAAGUUAUGCAUUGGAGAAGUGAGGGUCGGCCUUGAACACUUGUGUUCAUGCUCAUGGAAAUAAUGUAGAUUGUUUCAUGAAGAUUCUCACAGAAAUAAUUAUCCCCUUGUACAAAUCCAUUGUAUUAUAAAAAUAAUGUGCCAAGGUUUGCCUUUAGGAUGAUUAAAUUGCUUGUUGGUUUGCGCAGUGUAAAACAGAAACUUUGGUUGUAGUGCUCGAUUUUACAUUUUUUUACUGGAACGUCAAACGGUUCUGAAACUUUUUGCAUUGUCUUUCUAUACAAAAAUUUUAUUUUGUCCUAAUUUUCAAAAGUUUUUGAGUUGCAGAAGUAUGGUGGAUGUUCAAAUCUUUACAGAUUGUCCUAUUUUCACAUAUUGCUGUUAUAGCUUCAUUAUUUGCGUAUGUUUGAAUUCUUGUUGAAGCCUCCUUGACUUGGAGCCAUAGAAUUGUGAUAGAAUACAGUGGGUAAUGUUUUUUUAUAAUUAUACAAUAAUGUUACAGCAGUACAUGAUGGGAUUUCAUUGCCAUAUUCACUAACCUCGCCACUAAAAGUUCGGUUAAGUUUUGUGUGGAUGAAGUGUUCGAAGAUCGAGGAGGUCUCGAUGUGAGGAGAAGGAGAGGCAAUGGCUCAAGCUUGGGGAUGCCCAAGGCACCCGCAGUAAAUAUUCAAGGAGACUCAAGUUUCUAAGCUUGGGGAUGCCCCGGAAGGCAUCCCAUCUUUCUUCAACAAGUAUUGGUAUGUUUUUGGUUUCGUUUCGUUCGCGUGAUAUGUGCAACUCUUGGAGCGUAUUUUGCUUUUAGUUUUCAUUUUUAUUUUAUGCACCAUGCUGGUAUGAGAUAGUCCAUGGUUGAUUUAUAUAAUGCUCAUUGCAUUUCACUUAUAUCUUUUGAGUAUGGGUUUAUAGAAUGCUUCAUGUGCUUCACUUAUAUCAUUUGAAGUUUGGAGUGCAUGUUUCUCUUCACAUAGAAAACCAUUGUUUGAAAAAUGCUCUUUUGCUUCACUUAUAUUUAUUAGAGCAUGAUUAAGGGAGUCCUGGAUUAGGGGGUAUCCGGACAGCCAGAUUAUAUCCUUUGGCCGGACUGUUGGACUAUGAAGAUACAAGAUUGAAGACUUCGUCCCGUGUUUGGAUGGGACUCUACUUGGCGUGGAAGGCAAUCUAGGCAAUUAGGAUAUGUAUAUAUCCUCCUUUGUAACCGACCUUGUGUAACCCUAGCCUCCUCCAGUGUCUAUAUAAACCGGAGGGUUUUAGUCCGUAGGACAACAGACAAUCAUACCAUAGGCUAGCUUCUAGGGUUUAGCCUCUCCGAUCUCAUGGUAGAUCAACUCUUGUACUACUCAUAUUAUCAAGAAUAAUCAAGCAGGAUGUAAGGUUUUACCUCCAUCGAGAGGGCCCGAACAUGGGUAAAACAUCGUGUCCCCUGCCUCGUGUUACCAUCCGCCUUAGACGCACAGUUCGGGACCCCCUACCCGAGAUCCACCGGUUUUGACACCGUCAUUGGUGCUUUCGUUGAGAGUUCCACUGUGCCGUCGCCGUAAGGAAGGAUGCCUCGUCUCGUUGUUGAAAACAACAUUACCGCCGGGGGAGCCCUGGCUGUCGGCCAAACUCUCCGGCUUGGCAGUUUCAUCAUGACCGCCCGUUCGGCCGCUGCACCGACAAUGACCUCUCGGGUCAUCAAAAACAGCCUCCACGUCGGCUCGGAAUUCACCGAGCAGAUGGAUCCAAUGGAGCUCUCUUCCCUAAACGAGCUCUUGGAUUGUAUCGCCGCCUUGGGAGUCGCUACAGACUAUGAUCGGAUUGGGCUUAAACCCGACCAAAGGGAGAUUAAUUCUUGACCGGUCACCCAUCAUAUUGCGUUGGUGGAGGAACAAUGCGGCGAUUCUUCCUCUAUCUUGAGGACUAACUAUGUCUGGAUUCCUGAGCUCUCCGAGCCGGAUACCCAUUUACGGGAGGACAUCACCCAAGCCCUGAACUUAGAGUCAGGCAACGGGCCAAAAUUAUCGGGCAACACUCCGGAAUUUGAGCUUCCAAGAUUGGAAACUCCUUGGCCCCUGGGUCUCAGAUCGGGUAGGGGUUCGGACUCAAAUCCACCCACCCACCCAGACAUAAACGAUCUUUCCCACAUCAGGCAAGAGCCCCAUGAAACAGUACAUCAUUAUUGGGCCAGAUUCCUCCUUGUGAUGAACAUGGUUAAGGACUGUCGCGAGGAAGACACAGUCUCAUUUUUCUGCAAUAAUUGCACGGACAAGGGAAUCCUUAACGCCUUAAGUCGCCGUGACAUAUCACGCUUCGCUGACUUGGCAUCCAUAGUACAAAAGUACUGUGCGAUGGAAAGUGCCUGGAAAACCGAAACAAAAUUUUGGGAUAAUCCGGCUCCGAAUAUACAUCCAGUCUGAAGUAAAAGGGUGCACUAUCAUUAGACACCCGAGUUAAUUACAAAGAAGCAAAAACCCUCUACAGGGCAUGGAACCGUAUUGGAGGGAUGGCUCAACGGACCCUGCAAAAUUCAUAGUACAGCAGAUACCAUACCAACACACAGCCUUAGAGCAUGUUGGAUACUCCGGCAGGUGGCCAAAAGCGGCGAGGAUCUUCUCAUCCCAGAUGCCACAGAGCACCAUCCCAGGGAUAAAAAUACGGUAUUAACAGUCUUUGAGACCUUCGCAUCAAAUAAUAGGCGCAAGCGAACACUCCGCAGCAUUGCCGAAAUCUGCCACGUAUCAGCAAUAAAUCCAUGGAGCGACAGGGCUAUUACCUUCAAUGCCAGUGACGAACCUAAAUUCCGAACAACCCGAGCACCAGCUGCACUGGUCCUCAGUCUAAUUGUGGACGGCUUUCAACUCAUCAAAGUACUCAUGGACGGCGGCAGUGGAUUAAACCUCAUCUACGAAGAAACUCUUCAAAAAAUGGAAAUAGACUGGAACCGCAUUGAGCAAAGCAGCACAACCUUCAGAGGAAUCAUCCCCAGUCGGGAAGCACGCUGUGCUGGGACAAUCACACUAGAUGUGGUAUUCAGCACACCAGAGAACUAUAGGUCCGAAGAAAUUACAUUCCAAGUGGCCCUGUUCAGUAGUGGAUACCACGCCCUUUUGGGACGGGAGGCGUUCACAAUCUUCCAAGCCAUACCCCAUUAUGGGUACAUGAAGCUUAAAAUGCCCGGGCCCAACGGAAUCAUCACUCUCGUUAGUGAUCCGGACACAGCACUCUGUGCCGAAAACAAAACAGCUGCAUUGGCCCUCGAGGCUUUAUCCGAAGCCCUUUCGGCCGAGGAAUUAACUGCGCUACGCUCCAUAGUGGACAGGGACGACGUGAUACUUGACAAGAGAUCCAAGUCCACCUCUUUUAAACCAACGGAUGAAAUAGUCAAAUUCCAAGUCCACCCAACGGACCCUACAAAAACAGCCUCCAUCGGGGCACAAUUAAACCCCGCCGUGGAGGCCGCACUACGAGAGUUCCUGCGCGAGAAUUGGGACAUAUUCUCCUGGCACCCCUCAGACAUGCCAGGAAUCCCACGCAGGCUGGCCGAGCACAGCCUCAAUAUCCUAAAGGGAUUCAAGCCGGUCAAGCAGGCUCUUCGGUGUUUCUCUGAACCUAAGAGACAAGCUAUGGGAGAGGAACUAGCCAAGUUAUUGGAGGUCGGAUUCAUUAGAGAAAUAAAACACCCGGACUGGCUAGCAAACCUAGUGAUGGUACCAAAGAAGGACAAAUCCUGGCGCCUAUGUGUCGAUUUCAAGGACCUCAACAAGGCUUUCCCAAAGGCUCCCUUCCCCCUCCCCCGCAUUGAUCAAAUUAUCGAUGCUACCGCAGGACACGAAUCAUUGUGUUUCCUCGACGCAUACUCCGGCUACCACCAAAUCAAGAUGGCGGAGUCUGACCAAGCCGCAACGGCAUUUAUCACAUCAUACGACCCCUUCUGUUUCAACACAAUGCCUUUUAGGCUCAAAAAUGCCGGCGCAACAUAUCAGCGCAUGAUUCAAACAUGUCUAGAGAAACAGAUCGGCAAAACAGUAGAGGCAUACGUAGAUGAUGUGGUCAUCAAAACCAAACACGUCGACUCUCUAAUAGACGACUUGAGGCUCACAUUCGACAACCUCCGAACAUACGACAUCAAGCUCAAUCCGGUAAAAUGCGUCUUCGACAUACCAGCCGGAAAGCUCCUGGGUUUCAUUAUCUCCAGGUUUCAUUGUCUCCGAACAUACGACAUCAAGCUCAAUCCGGAAAAACACGUCGACUCUCUAAUAGGCGACUUGAGGCUCACAUUCGACAACCUCCGAACAUACGACAUCAAGCUCAAUCCAGAAAAAUGCGUCUUCGGCGUACCAGCCGGAAAGCUCCUGGGUUUCAUUGUCUCCAGUAGAGGAAUUGAAGCUAAUCCGGCCAAAAUCUGAGCUUUGUCACAAUUGUCUACCCCAACAGACCUCAAACAAAUCCAGAAAUUAACUGGAUGUGUGGCGGCUCUAAGCCGCUUUAUCUCCCGCUUAGGAGAAAAGGCAUUACCCCUUUAUCGCCUCCUUCAGCACACCGAACACUUCGAGUGGACAGACGCUGCCACAGCCGGAUUGGAAGAAAUAAAAGCCAUACUGGAAACCAACCCAAUCCUGGCCGCGCCAAACAUUGGCAAACCAAUGUUGUUAUACAUUGCGGCAACUCAUCAGGUUGUAAGCGCAGUGCUCGUCAUCGAACGAGAAGCGGACGGACAUAAAUUCCCUCUUCAAAAGCCGGUAUAUUAUGUAUCCACUGUCCUCACUCCAUGCAAAUCACGGUACCCACAUUAUCAGAAGAUAGCCUAUGCGGUAUUCAUGGCAUCCCGGAAGCUGCGACACUACUUUCAAGAGUGUUCGAUUACAGUAGCCUCGGAAGUGCCACUUAAUGAUAUUAUAAACAACCACGACGCCACGGGCCGGAUUGCCAAAUGGGCCAUUGAACUCCUCCCGUUCGACAUAACAUACAAACCAUGGCGAGCCAUUAAAUCACAAGUAUUGGCCGACUUUGUCGCCGAAUGGACGGAAGCCGAACUCCCUAAAGAGUACGGCACAUACUCCAAUUGGAUCAUGCACUUUGAUGGCUCCAAAAUGCUAGCUAGUCUGGGGGCUGGCGUCGUCCUGACGUCCCCAACCGGAAAUACAGUUCAAUACGUACUGCAGAUACUGUAUACAGACUCCAACAACGCAGCCGAAUACGAAGCCCUGCUACAUGGUCUUUGGAUGAUAGUUUCCAUGGGCAUUCAACACCUAGAGGUGCGUGGGGAUUCGAACCUCGCAAUAUCCCAAAUAAAUGGAGACUUCGAUGCCAAGGAUCCGAAGAUGGCGGCCUAUCGAAACACCGUCCUAAAGAUGUCAGCUCGGUUUGAGGGGCUCGAAUUUCACCAUGUGGCUCGGGAAAACAAUCAGGCGGCGGAUAUCCUCGCCCGCAUCGACGCAAAACGCGAUGCGGUCCCCCCAACAUCUUUUUGGAGAGGUUGUUUAAGCCAUCCGUGGUAUGGGAAGGGGACACCGGUAACAAUAGUCCGGACCCGGCCAAAAUGCCCGAUACCGAACACUCUGACAUAAUCGGAGGCUCUGCCACCAAAAUAACACCUUCAGCCCAUGUCAUAAUGGCCAUCAUUGCCCCGUGGACAGAACCAUUCAUGGCCUACCUAACUAGGCAGGAACUUCUAGAGGACCACCGGAGUCCAUGCUGCAUAGUGCGGCGAUCUAAAGCCUACAGGGUCCACGAGGGAGAGCUGUAUAAAAAAAAGCACCACCGGAGUCCUUCAAAGGUGCAUCUCCGAAGAGGAAGGGCGGGAACUUUUGGCAGAAAUUCAUGUCGAAUUCGGCGGCCACCACGCCGCAGCCUGGGCCCUUGUAAGCAAGGCCUUCUGUACAUGUUUUUAUUGGCCGACGGCCCGGGCAGACACACAGGACUUGGUCCAACGCUGCGCCGGUUGCCAGCUUUUUGAAAACCAAAGCCACAUGCCACCCACCGCCCUCCAAACCAUCCCCAUUACCUAGCCCUUCGCGGUCUGGGGGCUUGACAUGGUUGGACCCCUUAAAGGGGGAACCCAUAAGAAAAAAUACUUACUGGUCAUGGUGGAUAAAUUCACCAAAUGGAUAGAAGCCAAACCUGUUAAAACGGCCAAAUCCGGACCGGUGAUAGACUUCAUAUCCGGGGUUGUACACUGUUAUGGCGUCCCCCACAGCAUCAUCACUAACAACGGCACGAACUUCAUGGCCGGCGAUGUAAAACUCUGGUGCAGCAACAUGGGCAUCAAGCGCGAUUAUGCUUCAGUCUAUCACCCACACACCAAUGGCCAAGUUGAGCGAGCAAACGGUCUUAUCAUGAGCGGCAUUAAACCAAGACUAGUGUGGUCCUUAAAGGAGUCUAACACGCACUGGAUAGAGGAGCUCGACUCCGUACUAUGGGGGCUGCGGACCACGCCGAAUCAUACUACCGGAUAUACACCCUUCUUUAUGGUGUACGAUGCAGAGGCGGUUCUGCCCUGCGACAUAAUUCAUGACUCACCUCGAGUGUGCAUGUACGAAGAAAGAGAAGACGAGCUCGAUUGGCAGGACAGUCUGGACACAUUUGAGGAGGAGCGCGACGUCGCAAAAGCCCGUUCAGCAUUCUACCAGCAACAGGCUCGCAGAUACCAAAGCAGAGAAGUACGGGCCAAAACUUAUAACGUUGGCGAGUUAGUUCUACACCUGCCGGAGAAGAAAAAUACCAAGCUCGAGCCCAAAUGGGAUGGUCUCUUCAUUAUUGACCAAGUUCUGGCCGGUGGAGUGUACCGUCUGCGGGAUGCAUCGAAUAAUCGACUUGAGCCAAACCCAUGGAACGCAGCCAGGCUCCGAAGAUUCUACGCCUAGCGCCGGACUCUAUGUUCGUCUCCUUCCUCUGUCCAUUUUUCGCAUAUACAUUAUCUGUCUUUUUUCUAUUUCUUUCUUUUAUUCUUUCUCAAGGCCUUCAAGGGCCAACUUGUGCCUCGCUUGCACACUAUACAUGCGCUAACCGCGCUCAUUAUACCUGGGGGCUUCUUACACAGAAGCUUAAUUAUCUAUCUGGGCUUGAUGCCCCGCACAUGUGUUCUUCUUCCGCAUGUACCUUUUCUUCACCAUUAUAUGCAUCGAUAUGACUUAAGUUUUGGCCAAGCUGGGUUGCCUGGCUCUUGUAUUUAUGCCCUACGUUCCCGUUAGUUCAGCUAGGGCAUAAAGGGAGCACCUCUGCGUUUGUUACUGUCGGGUCAGCCGGAUGUGUACCUCAGACUAGGUGAAGCCAAAAGCUAGUGUUCUUAAGGGAAUAUUCGGCCGACGAACAAAAGAUGAUUUUUAUUUAUUUUCCAUAUAUGCCCCCAGAUGUUUUUGCCUGUGGCUCUGCUCGCAGUCCGGACAUGCACUUUAGGGCAUGUGUACCCAGGGAAAGGAACCCCUAACGGAACUAUUCUCCCUGGAAGAUGUUUCUUACUACCCAUGUAAUAUAACAUAACUAGUUGGGUACUUGUCUGUUCAAGCACUAAUGACCCCUACGCCUGGUUUCCACGCAUACCCUGGUUCUUAUAUAACUGAGCGGGUGUUCGGACACACUCCGGACUAUCGGGUCCCGAGGUUGAAGCGAAAAGGUCCGCCAUGACAAAUGAUUUACAAUCCGGCUAGAAGGCAUUAUACAUGUCACUUUAAUUACAUAGUCAUGUAGACUGACUAAAUUCCUCUUCUAUACCAUCCAACAGGCAGUCUAGCCUACAAUCCUGUUGGGAAUACUUUGCGGCUAAUUCUACUUGCCCAUAGACUAAGCUAAUGGGGAUCUCUUUCCCAGUGGGCCCCACAGGUCUAACCUCGACCAUGUGGUUUGGGUCAGCCUUGGUAUACGAUGUCUUCACCAUGGCCCAGGCUUCCCUGGCACCUUGACGGCAGGCCGAUAUCUUCCAUAAUCGGAAGCGCCGCCGUGCUCCCUUGAGAUUCUACGCAAGCUCUCCAAUGCCUUCUGGCAGGGAGACUGAUGGCCACAAGGCCUGGGCAAUACCUUGCAUCACCUACUGAACUUGUUCGUGCAGUUGUGAGAGCUCGGAUAGAAGAUCACCCGCAGACCCGGGCAUCUCCUCCGCGGGACAACCCGUUAGCAUACCUGCAGACAUAACUCUGUUAGCCGGCUUCUGUGUCGUCCCCUUUUUAAGGGUUCGUUCAAGCACUUACUGAAAAUGCCGCAUCGAAGCCGCUUAUUCUCCUUCUCGGAGUUCGCAAGCUGGGCUCGAACAUCUUUCAGUUCCAUGCUCAGCUUGGUAUUGUCGUCUUGGAGAUUGUUUUUCUCCCGGCUAACCUCAGUCAACACGUGUUCGCCAGCCUUUAGCUGUCGUACGACAUGCUGGUCCUUCAGAUUCUCUCCGGAUUCAUCUGCAAUAUCUAUUGUUAGAUCUGCAGCCACGCCGCAUGCUAUAUGGUACCUAUCAUUCUUUGAGACAAAUGUUACCUGCUGGGGACUUUUUAGGUUCCUUCAAUGCGGCAACGUCGGCCCGAAGUUGGGUAUAGCAUUCCUCCAGCUCCUGUGAUAGUCAAGUAUUCUUCUCUGUAAGAACCUGCACAAUAGAUGAUCCUUAAAUCAGUUCUGCUAACUGUUUCAAGUCUCAGGGGCUACUGAUACAUAUAAUCGUCAGAUUUGCUUACCGGUACAUCCCUUACAUACUGGUCCGUGGCUCUGGCUAGAAAAUUUUGAGCAGCACGGAGGUACGGGUCUCCAGAAUUGAAGGCAUCAAAUGCCUCUGGGGAGAAGCAAGCGUCACGGAGUACGGCUCGGCGACGCCUAUGAUUCAUGGCGCUCUCCACUUUUGAAUUUGUAGCGGAUAGUCUAUCUGCAUCCUCUGUAGGAGGAGUAUUCAGCGUCCGCCCCAUGUCGGCUUCUGCCUCUAUGUCCGGUCCUGGAGCCCGACUGGUGGAAGCAUGAUCGGCAACCUCACCGGACAUAUUCCGACGAGCGUUUUUUCUGUUAAAGAAACAUGGACGUCAUUACGUUUAGAGAAAGACGACAAACACGGAGCGGGGUUUUUGUCAUACCUCUGUGCCGACAUCUCCGUCCUGACCGCCUUCCUUUUUGGCCUACCCGGCCUCUUUGCCUCUUGUUGGCGAGUUGCUGCGGGUUCGGCACGGCGUCCCAAAGGCCUUCCCUGUAAAACACCAUGUAUAUGGUAGGUGAAGUGUCUAAAAGGGGAUACUAGUUUUUUAAGUUGGGAUUUUUGGUUUUUCUUACGUGCAAUGCAGGAAGCAGUCCGGGAUUGUCGGCCGUAAUGGCCACCAUGGCAUCAUCACAGCUUAAUUGAUAGAACUGCCGGUCUAUCAGCUCCACGAAUAUGUCCGGAUCUUCUUCGAGUCCGGGACCAAGGGCCCAGUCAGGGUCCUCUGGUUGUGGGGAUGCACUACAAAAAAAUACACUUUCGUGAUGAUACGUGUUUGUCACAGUAGGUCGCUUUUUUGUCAUGCAUGUACAUCCAUGACAAAUUUAUGACAGAAUCAAGAUAGUCAUACCUGUGCUAUCAUAGAAGUGUUCCAUGACAUUACCAAAAUUAUCAUCACAGAAGUGUCCACUUCCAUGACAAUAAAUCGCGCGUCACAGAAGUGCUUUCGUCAAGGGUGACCGACACGUGGCAUCCACCGUAACGGAACGCCGUUAAGCUACCGGGUCGGGUUUUGGAUCCGAUAACCCGUUAACAGCCCCGACCAAUGGGGAUUUUCCACGUGUAAAAUCAUCAUUGGCUAGAGGAAACACGUGUCGGCUCAUCGUUGGGACAGAUGUCAUCCAUUCACUGGACAGAAGGCGCCUAUGAUACGUCGACACGUGGCACGGCCAAACAAUGGCCCAUUCCUGUGAAAAGGCCGGCCCAUUUGACUUGGUCAAAAGCUGGCGGGUCGGCCCAUGGAAAGCCUGUUAACGGCCUAUUCGCAUAUAGCCCAUUUACAGCCCGCUAACCCAAGGCCCGUUACGCCCUAUCCGAAUUAGGCCCAGUAGCGUCAUCUGGGCCGUCCAAUAUGAUUCCAGCCCGUUUUCACUUCUGGCCCAUGUAUAGCCCAUGACGUCUUUCGGCCCAUAUGAGGCCCUUUGUAACUCUUGGCCCAUUAGCGGCCCGUGCUGAAACUGGCCCGUAAUGAACAGUGUAUUACUUUACACCCAUUAACGGCCCGUGGUGAAACUGGCCCGUAAUGAACAGUGUAUCACUUUAUACCCAUUAAUGGCCCGUUAUUCCGUUGGGCCGUUUCCAGCCCAAGUUAACUUUCGGCCUUUUGAGGGCCCAUUUAUUCUUAGGCUCAUUUGCAGCAUUCGGUUACAUACGGCCCGUUACUGUCAUUUUCUGUUUCUGGGCCAAAUUCAGCCCGUCGUUACAGUCGGCCCGUUUGUGGACCGUUAGUCUAUUGGGCCAUUUUCAUAGCAUCACCAAAUACGGCCUAAUAACGGCCCAUUACGGUCAGCCCAUAAAAUGUACGAUUUCCAUUAAAGGCCCGUCUACGGCCCAUUAAAGGCCCGUACAAGACCCAUAAAUGAGCCGGCGGCCCAUGGAUCCUACGAGACGUACAAGGCCCAUGGAUCCUACGAGACGUAGAAGGCCCAUGGAUCCUACAAGACAUAGAAGGCCCAUGGAUCCUACGAGACGUAGAAGGACCAUGGAUCCGACGGCCCGUGAAGGGCCAUGGUCGGGCGAAUUGCCCCCGUUUGAACGAUAUAGCAUAUUCAAAGAAUUAUCGUACUCAAUACUAUCACCUCUAAAAAGCCUACACUAUUACAACAAAGAGAUCAAGGCAUAGAAAGGUAGAAUAAUCCUACACUAUACAAUAAAGAAAUCACAGCCGAUUAUACCCACUGGGUAUUAUGGUUCGGCACAGGUGAUAAUAAAGCAUACACAAACAGCAAAUUACACACACUGGGCAAAUACAACUCAUACAUCAUGGACGCGCAUCAACCUAAAUCCAUUUGAACUAUAAUCUCUUCAGAAAAUAGGAUUGGCCAGAUUCAGAUAGCACAAAUUUCAGUCUGCAAAAUCUCCAAUACCUUCAUGGUUACCUCAGUGUCUUGUUUCAUUUUUUUGACUCCUGCAUCUAAUACCUGCAUGUCCAGUCUCAACUUGUUGAUUA